rnacentral:lncRNA from 1 species
UUUUAUUUUUUAUUUUCUGUUGUUACAUACUUUGAUUUGUCCCCUCAUAUGGCUAUAUUUUCCUAAAAAAUCCCAAUAUAUUUUUUUCCCUUUUAGCCUCACUCACUGCCUUCCCAUGUGACCAUAUUAAAUCUUCUCUUUUUUAGCUUAAAAUAAAGCUGUAAAGAUGAUGGAAUUAAAUUUUCAAGAUCACUAAGUAAGGUAUAGAAUAUUUCAAACAAAUAAUAUAUUAUUAAAACACUUUUAGGUGGCAUAAAAUUUUCAUUGUGUAUGUUUUAGGUAGGAUAAUUAUAUCAUUAUUUGACUAAUCCCAAUUUCAUACACACACACACACACAAAAUGAUGUUCUAAAUGAAACAUUUUUUUGAAGAACAAAACAUUUUUUAGGUAAGGUUUUGACUAGUAGAUUAGGUAUCUUUUUAGCCCAUGGUUUUAAGUGGGUAUAAAGACAAUAAUCAUUAUAUUAUAACUUUUUCAAACUUUGCAUGCAAAAUUAAGAUAUAGGGAAAACACACAGUUGAAAGUGGGAAGAUAUUUUUAGUUUCAAUUAAAACUGGCCUAUUCUGAAACUUUGCUUCUUAUUUCUGAAAUAUUUUUUAUUUUAUUUUGAGAAAAUGAUUUUUUAUUAUUUUAGAAAAUUGAAAAACGACUUUGUUUUAAAUAACGAAAAUAUGUUUAGUAUCUAUUUUCUUAUAAUUUCUUUUAAAAAAAUAUUACAUUUAUAUAGAUCUAAAUUAACUACAUAAAAGAUUUUAUAUUUAAAAAUUAUUUAAAAUAUUUUUAUAUUUAUAUGGGUCAUUUUAUUAUUUGAAUUUAAAGUUAAAAGCUCAUGUUAGUUCAAACUCGCAUAAAGUAAAAAUAUUAUUUAAUAAUUUUUAAAUGUAAAAUCUUUUAUCCUGAUUCAAGUCCAUAUAAUGUAAGAAUAGUUUUUUUUUUAUGUUUCUAUUAUAAGAAAAAUAAGGGAAAAAUGUGUUCUAUGAAUUUUCAAAAAAUAGAAAAUAAAAAUUAAUUUUUUAAAAUAAAAAGUAAUAUAUUUUUCAAAAUUUUAGCAAAAUAUGUGUUCUUUAAUUUCUUCCAUUUUCUGAAAAAAAAAACAAAGAUGCCUUUUUUUUUUCUUCAAAAGUAAAUAUUAACCAAUUAUAUUAUUCAAACGAAUAUAAAAAUAAAAUAUAUCUAUAGUUUUUAUUUUAGUGGUAAGAGUAUUAUGUUCUAGACAUAAGAGUUUGGGUUCUGACUCCAAACAAUCAUAUUCCCCCAAUUAUCUAAAAAAACCUAUCAUAUCUUUUACUUUUAAAUAUCAUCUUUUACUUACAAAGAAAAUUUAUUUAUCUUUUUAACUUUUUUUAAAAAAAAAAUAUAACUUUAUCCAAAUGUAUUUUUAUGAAAAAAAAUAUUUAAAAACAUAUUUAAUUAAAAUUUCAUAACUAAUUUAAGGAUUUGGGGUUUUUAUAUAAAUAACACAAAAAUAAUAAAAAUUAUGAAAAUAGCAUGACUUACAAUUUAAUUAUCAAAAUGACAUGUUUUGUAUAAUAUUUUGCAAUAUUGUUGUAUAUGGAGUAUACGAAACCAAUAAAAAUAUCUUAAUUAUUAUAUGAUUAUUAAAUAUAUAAUAAAUUAAAUACAGGAGUCUGUCUUUCAUGUAUUUUUUGAAACAAAAUCUAUGAGCAACACAACCGGGUCAAGUAUAUUUUAUUAUAAAUUUUAAUAAUUAUGUAAUGGUUGAGGUAAUUUUUUAUUGGUAUCGGACACUAAUAAUUUAUAUCUCAUGCUAUUUUCGUAAACUUUUAUUGUUUUUGAGUUAUUUAUAUUAAAAAAAGUCGGAUUUGAAAAAACCCAUAAAUAAAUUGAAGUUUGACUAUAAAUUAGGAUAUUGGACCAAUGAUUGACAGCAACACGUGAGGGAACAUGAGGCAUUUUCAUCGUAAUGAUAAUGAAGACUAUAUGUUAUGGGGAUAAUUUUGGUUUCUCCUCAUAAAUGGUUGAAUAUAUGAUUUACUUGUUUGAGGAUUGUGCAAGCCCAAAUUUGCCCCGGGCACAAAAAAUCCAAUACCCAAAACAAAACCCAAACCCAAAUACAAUCCAAACCUAGCCCAAUACAAAAUCCUAGCAGCCCAACUAAACUUUUCAACAAAAAAACAAAAAUCCUAGGUGCGCCGCACCUAGGGCCUUCUGUCUAGCGCCGCACCCACCCUCUGCCACCACCUGCUCCGCCACUCACUGUCAAGCCCUCCACUUGCACCUACAAGAAGAAAAGACAGCAACAAAUAAUAAUAAUAAAAACCUUGUAAAAUGGCUAUAAAAGCCAAGCAAAAACCGAUUGUAGGGGUUCCCCCUUUUUUACGGACCAGUGAAUCAAAAUAGACGAAAGAGUUUUAAAAGGUGUUGAUUUGGAGCUUUUUUUCUUUUUCUUACUGUUCUCUUUUCGGGUUCUCUUUUAUUUUCUACUUAUUCAUUUUAUUAUUUGUUUUCUGUUACAAAUCGAUUUCAGCAAAAAUAAAUAAAUAAAAAGGGAAGAAAACUUACCCUAGUCGCUCCGCGAGAGCCGCCGCUGGAAUCCUUCGGGGCAUUAAAAUCGGACGGUGGGGGUGGCGUUCGGGGUUUCUUCCCACGGCCCUAGGGCCAUGAAGGUUCGGCCUUUAGUCGGCCCAUGAAGCAGGGUUAAAAAACCAGAUUUUUGCUGGUCCCAUUUUGAUUUUUUUUAAUUUGGCCGCUUUUUUUUUCCGCGUGUUUCAUUUUAGUCCGCAUUGAAACGCUGCGCAUUGGGGUUGGGAAUAUUGCACGGUCGGUCCCUUGUGCCUUCAGCGCGUUCUAUUUCAAUGCCGGGCCACUCUUUUUUUAAUUUAUUUGCGAUUUAGACCCCCAAAGUUCCGUUUUGAGUUUAAAUUAGUCUCUCUUUGUUAUAUUUUUGCUAUUAAAUUAAUUAAUUUCAAUAAUGUUAUCAUUAUUUUUAUUAUUAUUGUUUUUAAUAUUGUUAUUACUAUUAUCCUGCUUAUUAUUAUUUAUACCUCUGUAAUUUUAGAUUUAAUUAUAUAUAUACAUAUCUUGGAUCUAUAUACUUAUACAUACUUCCAUACUUCGUAUACUUUAUAAUUAUAUAUACAUACACUUUUAUAAUAUAUAUACAUAUAUAUAUAUAUGUACGUGUACAUAUUUUUAUAACUUAUCUAUAUAUGUGUAUAUAUACAUACUUAUAUUUUUAUAUUUUAUAAUUUAUAUACACAUCUAUAUAUCUAUAUACAUAUUUUGUUUUCAUAAAUAUAUAUAUACACACACUUAUAUAUAUUCUUUAGAUUUUAAAAUAUAACCUCUUUUAGACAUAUCUUUUAUAUUUUAUAAUUCACAUAAACAUAUAUAUAUAUAUAUAUAUAUAUAUAUAUUAUCCCUAUAUUUUAAAACUUACAUAUACAUCUAUAUAUAUCUACAUAUAUAUAUUUUUUAUACUUUAUAAUUUUAAUAUAUGUACAUAUAUACAUAUAUAUAUAUAUUAUAAUUUUAUUCAUUUUUUAUCGUUACUAUUGAUUCAUUUGGUGUUCAUUUAUUUAUUUAUUUACAUGCCCAUUAUUAUUAUUUAAGUGUUUUAGUUUUUAUUUGUUUAUUUACUUGUUAUUGUAUAUAUAUGAUUGAUUUUUUUUAUUAUAUAUUCGUCAUCUUAUUUAUUUAUCUUUUUAUCUGCUCGUAUUAUUUUUACUUGCAUUAUCAUAAUAGUUAUUCCGUUAUAUAUAAUUUUUAGCUAAAUUCAAAAGUAAAAUUUUUCUAAAUAAAGGCAAUACUCGAUAUUUGGGAUCUUCGAGAGAAUUGAGCCCUAACGUAUUGGGUUUCAAUUUUGUUCAUUGAAUCCAAAUAAUCGAGAAUGCUCUUUAAUAAAAAAACAUAAAUAAAAAGCUCAUUAUCAGGAAUUCAAUACAUUGUGUCCUAAUGCAUUGGAUAUGACACGUUGCUUUCUCGAGAUUAGAAUUUUUCUAAAAAAUAAUAAAGACAAUAUUUAAUGUUUAGAAUUUUGAGAAAUUGUGCCCUAAUGUAUUUGGCUAUGAUUUCUUCAUCUGUCUUAAACAAUUGAAUAUCCUUUUAAAUUUUAUUACAUGAGUUUUUUGGACAAUCUUAUUUUUGAGGAUGUAAAAUAUCAUGCCUUAACUCAUUGGGUGAGACAUUUUCUCUCUCCAAAAUGAGAGGGUCUUAAUAGGUAAUUUGUUUUAUAUAAGUUUUUUUUUUACAAAAGAUUGCAUUUUAAAUCUCUUCAAAGUUUUUAAUUUUCGACACUAAGACACUAAUUAAUCAAAUAGGUACCAAUUUUGGGCAUUACGGGGGUGUUAAUCCUUCCUCGUACGUGACCGACUCUCGAACUUUUUUUUCUUAAUUUUGUGGACCAAAAUCGUUGUUUUAAUAAAAUCUAAUCGUUUAUUAAAGACAACUACUUUUCGAGGUGAUCCGAUCACAUCUCAUCAAAAAGGAUUGGUGGCGACUCCCAUUUUCGUUUUUAUUUUUAAAUUCAAGUCGACCCCGUUUUAUCCAAAAAAUGAUGUCAACAAGGAUGUCAUCUGCAAAAAAAAAAUGUUUUUUAAACGGUUCAUUUAGGUUCAACAUAGUCUUUAUUUUUCAAUUUAGAUAGGGUAUUAUUUUUAUAUUAUAUAUUGAAAAUUAUUUGGUAUGGUGUUAGUAAAUUUUACAAAUAAGAUUUGGGUGAUUAGUAUGGUAAAAAUUAUAAAUAUAUAUAUAUAUAUAAGGGAUAUGUGACCAGGGCCGAAGUCAGAACAAUCUUUUGGGGGUUGAAUGAAAUUUUAAUUUUUAAAGGAUUAAAUCGAAUUUUUAUAAUUUUAAGGGAGCCAAAUUAUAAUUUUACUUUUACUAAUUUAAAAUAUUUAAAAAAAUUUAAGAGUUUAAAUAACAAUUUUACAUUUUAGAGGGAGCCGAGGUCCAUGCCAGCCCCCUCUAGAUUCACUACUGUAUGUGACCAAUGUAUAGCUUUAGUUGUGAAAUUAAAAAAAUGCACUGUUAGUAUACUGAAUACUUACAGUAUCAUAUAUAAUAUUAGUUUCUUUAUCAUAUGCAAUGCACAAGUUUCUAUGUAUGAAGUAGGAUAUAUUAUUAUUACUUUUUAAAAAUUUAUUACAAAAUUUGUAUCAUUUUAAAAAUACAAUAAUUAAAAAAGUAAAAACAAAAUUAUAUAAAAAUUUAAAAUUUGUAAAAUUUAUAGUUUUUAUUAUAAUCAAUGAAAAUAUUUACUAAAUUUGUUAUAAAAUUUAAACAUUUUAAAAAUAAACAAAACAAUAUAAAUAUUUUGUAUUUGAUUUAUUAUAAAUAGACGAUGUCUCACCUCUUGAAAAGUUGGUAUCGAUGCGGGGGAGAAGAGCACCUUGAAAAGUUGAAGUUGUAGGUCACAGGGGUCGAAGAUUUAGCUUGACCAAUGUGCAUCUGAUCCCCUUCAUGAAGCGAUGGACCAUCUCAUAUUACUAACACAGUUUAUAUAAGGGGUUGUUGAUAAUGUGGAAUCAGAGGUGUUGACACCAUUUUUUUGUGGAAACGGGGUCGACUUGGAUUUUGAAAAUGAAAAUGAAAAUGAAAAUGGGAGUCGCCACCAAUCGUUUUUGAUAAGGUGUGAUCGGAUCACCUUGAAAAGUGGUUGUUUUUAAUAAACGAUUUGAUUUUAUUAAAAGAACGGUUUUGGUUCAUGAAAUUCAGAAAAACAGGUUCGAGAGUCGGUUAUGCACGAGGAAGGAUUAGCACCCUCGAUACGCCCAAAAUUGGUACUUAGUUGAUUACUUAAUGUCUUAGUGUCGAAAACUAAAAACUGUAAAGAGAUUUAAAAUACGAUCCUUAAAAAAAACUCGAAUGACAUGGAUUAAGAUUUAGGAGGAUAUUUGGCUAUUUGGUCGAACGAGAAAUCGAAACCCAACACAUUAGGGCACGUUUUCUCGAAUUUCCAAACGCAAAACAUUGCCUUAUUUUGAAAUUUUUUAAAGGGAUAUUUGGCUAUUUAGUUGAACGAGAAAAAAAAUCGAAACCCAGCACAUUAGGGCACGUUUUCUCGAAUUUCCAAACGUAAAAUAUUACCUUAUUUUAAAAUUUUUAAGAGGAUAUUGGUAUGCGUAACAAAAUGUUAAUGAAUACAAUGGUGUAGCAUAAAUAAUACGAAUAAUAGCAAUGAAAAUAAAUUGGAUAAAAAGGGCAAAUCAAUGACAUGUAAAAUAACAAUACAUAUAAGCAAGUAAAGUAAAUAUAUAUAUAUUUUAAAUAAUGAUGAAAACGUAAAUAAAUAAAUAAAGAGAAUGAAUAAAAUUUAAAAAAAUAUAAAAAGAUGUAUAUAUAUAUGCAUUUACGGAAAUAAAAUAGGUAUAUAGAUAUAUGUAGACUUGUAUGUAAAUUAAAAAGAUAUAUAUAAAAAUAUGAGUAUGUAUAUAUAUACAUACAAAUAAGUUAUAAAGAUAUAUAUAUGUAUAUGCGUGUAUAUAUAUAUAUUAUAAAAAUAUAUGUAUGAAUAUAUGUACACAAAAAUUAUAAAGUAUAAUAAAAAAAUACAUAAGUAGGUAUGUAUAAAAGAAAUAAUAAACCGAAUAAUAAUGAUAACUAACGAACCGAGCAAAACAAAACUAAAAAAUAAGAAAAUAAAAAAGGAUAAGAAUAAGAAAGUUGAAUAAAUAAAUGAGCUAAACGGAUUUAGGGACUUAAUCGUAACCCAAACUAAAUUUAAAGGAUAAAUUAAAAUAAAGUAAACAAGUAAAAGACCAAAAUGAAAAGUGCGACAACUAACGAGGACCAAAAUGGGAAUAAAACCCAAAUUCGGACACAUGUCCAUCGUUUUAGCGCAUCAGUGAGCCAGGGACGAGAUCGAAAAAAAACAAAAUUUCGGGGCUAAAUUAAAAGAAAACAAAAAUGAACAAAAAGGAGUAAAUUUAAAAGAAAAUAAAUGCGGAAGGACCAGGGCCUCAAAUAGACCCUUGGUCCAAAAACACGCGGAUCCUUGAGGUCCAACGAGUCGGAUCUUGGGUUACUUCAAAACGACUCCGUUUUGGCGCUGAAGCUCCCCAGGUGAAACGACAUCGUAUCAAUCCCACAAUAAAUAAUAAAAAACCUAACAAAAAAAACAUUUGAAAUGUUUCCAAAAAAAAAAUUUCCUUUUUCUCUCUGGGUCUCCAGAGUCCGGCCAUGAAGACCGGUGCACCCUCGCCGUAGCUCUGCCGCAAGCGGCAGUCGGAGGUGCAAAGGUCGGCCUUUCUUAGCCCCACUUGGAGCUCGUCCCCUCUAGAACCCGGAUUCAAGGUUGGAUCCUCUGAAAGGUGGCCACAAACCCUAGAACCGAAGGGAAACCGUUCGGCUUCCCCUCUUCUGGUGCGGCACAGGUAAACCCCCUUUCCUUAUUUCUUCCUUUCUUUUAUGCUAUUUCGAAACGGAUAUGUAACAGAGCAAGAAAAGCGAAAAAAAUAAAAAUUUGGCCACUACCUUUAAUCCGUUUUUUUGUAUAUUUCUUUUAACUUUUUGAAUACAGAAAAUCCCCCCAUUUUACAUUUUUUUCUCGGCCUUUUAUAGCCGAUUUACACAUUUUACUUCUAUUUCUAUUAUUAUUUCUUCCUCUAUUCUUGCUGCUUGUUUUUGUCUUCUGUUUGCAGGUACAUGGUAAGGUCAACUUGCUGUUUUGGUGAAAAGAGGGCUGGCGGUGGCAGGCAUCAGGCGUGGUCGCGCUGAAGGCACACAUGGGGUAACAGUGGCGCGUUAGGGGUCAAGUGCGGCGCCAGAAACCCUAGGGUUUCUGGCAUUCUGAAAAUGUCUAAACACUUUGGGCCAUUUGGGCUUUUAAAUUUUGGGUUGUAAUAUUUGGAUUUUUUAUUUAUUUUGGUUUGGUUCUGGUUGUUUUAUUGAUUGGGUUACUGGGCCGGGCAAAAAUUUGGGUUGUACAGUUGGCCCUCUUUGCUUCAUUGUCGUGUAACGGGAAUUAAGCAAAGACUAAGAAAGACCAAAUUUUCCGGUCUCGCCGAGUCUUGACUUCUCUUGACGCUUCUCCUCUUAAAAUAACUUCGUUCCAGUCCACUGUGUCGUGUUGCUUCGAUCCACUCCACUGCACUUCAGAGAGUUCUGACUUGUAGCUUCAAUCUUCUUUGCCGCAACUUCAGGGGGAUGAUGUUUGUGGUUUUAGUCUGUUCCACUAUAACAUCAGGGAGAUAAGACUUGUUGCUUGAACCUACUCCACUACGACUUCAGGCGGAUAAGGUCUAACACGAUAAGAUCCACUAUCAAAGGUCUGCUCCACUGCAACUUUAAGGAGAUAAGACUUGUUAUGGUAAAUUUAAUCUGACCUAUUACAACUUCAAAGGUAUAGGAUUCAUCUUUUUAAUCCGUUCCACUGCAACUUUAGGGAGAUAGGAUUAGUAGCUUCAGUCUACUCCACUGUAACUUCAGGAAGAUAAGACUUGUAUCUUCAACCUGCUCCACUGCGACCUCGGGGAGAUAAGGUUUGAUAUGAUCUACUUUCUUCAGUCCAAUCCACUACAACUUUAGGGAGAUAAGGCUUGUAGCUUCAAUAAAGUCUGAUGCGAUCUGUUCUACUGCAACUUUAGGAAGAUAAGAUCUAUCAUUUUGACCCGUUCCACUGCAACUUUAGGGAGAUAUGACUUAUAUCUUCAAACUUGCCCCACUGCAACUUUAGGGGGAAUAAGGCUUAUGAUUUCAACUUGCUCUACUGCAACUUCAGAGAGAUAAGGUUUGAUAUGAUCUGCUCUACUGCAACUUCAGAGAGACUAGAUCGGUAAUUUAUAGCUUCUAUCUGUUCCACUGCAACUUCAGGGAAAUAAGAUUUGCUAUCUUUAAUCUGCUUUGCUGUCAACUAUGGUGUCUUCGAUCUGCUUCGCUGUUAAUACGGGAAGGCGAGAUCUGUUAUCUUUAGUCUGCUCCACUGCAAACUCAAGGAGGCGAGGCUGGUGUUUUCGAUCUGCUUUGUUGUCAGUUCAGGAAGGCAAGAUCUGUUAUCUUUAGUCUACUCUGCUGCAAACUCAGGGAGACGAGGCUGGUCUUUUCGAUCUGCUUCAUUGUCAGUACAAGAAGGCAAGAUCUGUUAUAUUCAGUCUGUUCCGCUGUAAACACAGGGAGGCGAGGCUGGUGUUUUCGAUUUGUUUCGCUGUCAGUACAGGAAAACAAGAUCUGCUAUCUUCACUAAUCUGUUCUCUGGGGAACAUGACCUGUAUAAUCUAUUUUAUGAACCUAAUUAUGUCUAAUGAUUAGGAUGUCAUGAUCAAAAUGAAUCAAAUACUCCUCACUAGACGUGUAUGAAUGAAUGCAAAAUGUCAUGAAGAUGAUUCUUUAAUGUUUGAGUUGUUAUUGCUCGUUAUUCAUCAAGGCUUCAUUACUAAUACGUCAGAAUGCUAUCUUGCUCGGUAGGUAACACUUAUCUCUUACUUAACCGGAUUGCCCCCACUGUGAUCUUCAAACUUCAAUCCGUUGUAAUCUUCAAGGUUAAGUCCACUAUAAUUUUGGGACAUAAAAAUUUGAACCAUCUUUCUCCCACUGUAAUUUAGGAGUAUAAGAUCUGACUCUUUCUCAAAUCUCUCCCACUACAAAUCAGGGAUAUAGGAUCUGAAACUAUUUGGUCUUUUACACCAUUCCCAGGGUGUCAUACCAAAUGCCUAUGCACAAAUGAAUGAUUCUCUUCUCCUAGGAAAUCCCUUCUUAUUGUUUGGUGAUUAUUAUUUGCUUGUUCAUUUAAGCCUUAUCACCAACACGAUAUCUUGCCAUUUCGUUCAAUCAAUAUUUGGACAGCAAAAUCUGAAAGGAUAGUCUUAACUUAGACUCUUCCUUCUUAGACAUUUCAACCUUUAAACUUGGCGCGUUCUAAACAAUAGUCCUAUUUUAGGUUCCUAUAUCAUUUAGAAAUUUCUAGAGUAAUAUGCAAAACUUUCCUUAUGAAAGUAUUAUUAGCCCAUUAAUCAUUAUUCUAAUGCAACAUGCUUGCAAAAAGAUCAUAACAAUGGAUAAAAAUGAGAUUACUUUGGGAGCAUAGCUCGAAAUGAAUAAAUUAUCAAGAAUAAAAGAGGAAUUGAUUGGGAACACGUAUCUUGAAAAAGGAAGAAGUAUUCCAAGAACAACAAAUUCAAUAUAAAUAGUAUGAAGAUUAGGUGCCCCAGAUAUCGCAGCUUGAAUUUCUCUGUACAACUUUUUGAAGGACCAUUCUGAGUUUGACAUGUGUUUAGGAGAUCUACAGGACUUUGUCGAUGCCCCAAAAUGUUGCCUACCCUUUUCUGUUGAUUCAGGUAUAGCAAGAUCACCGCAUGCCCCAAUCUGAUCAAAAUUUGAGCUGCUCUGAUCACCCCAUGUCCCAUUCUAAUCAAAAUUUGAGCCGCCCUUUUCGAGUUUUCAACUCAAAUCCCCUUUGGUCUCAAAGAGCCCUUUGAGGGUUUUCGCCUUGGCCUUUCCUUUCCUUUUUUUUUCUUUUCCUUUUCUUCUUCUUUUUCAGAAUGUUUUUUGAUUGAAUCUAAACUCAUAGGAUUAGGCAUGUCCUUGUUAUCCCUUCCGAUCCAAAUUAACGUUUUUCCAGAUAAGACUUUCCACAUAAGGUUCUUCCCAGUUUGGCAUCCACUUUCUUAUGAAGUUCUUUUUUUGCAUGGGAAGGAUCUUCUUCAAUACUAGGUCCCUCUUGUGAAAUCCUCUAGGGCGAACUCUUCUUCUUCUUCUUCUUCUUCUUUUUGUGAGCUUGCAUCAUUUGCUUUUGGUGCAUUUGACUAUGAUGGAUAAUCUUGAACAUUCCUCUUCAAUUGGAUUUGGAUCUAAAAACUCAAAGAGAAUAAAAUCUUGACCUCAAUGGGUGAAACCGCGAUGAGCCAAAAAAGAAGGCGUUGCAUCGGCAGAGUUUUUUUUAGGGGCGAUAUGGCGUUAAUCGUGAACAGACUGUAAACUUUUGAUAUUGUUCUGUUGUUCAAAUUUAGUGCAUUGUUGAAUAUGAUCCCUUUUGGCAUUCCAUACCGACAUAUGGAUUUUCAAGAAUUUGCUGACCGUCGACUUUGUAACAUUGGCAUAUGAAGCGACUUCUACCUACGAAGAUAAAUCAAUGGCCGCCAGAAUCUUUUGGCGAGAUCGACCCAAUAACCUUCAUGCCUCACAUAGGGAGAAGUCGUGGAUUCCAAUGAUUCUUUAUAGGGUAGGUUCUGUUUUCCAUCUUGUUCUACCAUCCUCAAUAAGUCCAGAGAUAUGCUAUAAUCUAUGUCAUCUUCGAAGUCAUGAGAUCCCUCUAAACACAUGUCUCACUCAAAAGGAGAUUUUGAGUCUGUAGCAGUGUCACUCAUGUCGUUGAUAUCUGGGGACCUAUUGUAGGUACAAAAGAAUGUAUGAAUUUAAGAAUAAUUAUCUGUACAGUAUGAUUAUGAAUGAAUGAAAGAUUGAUUUGGAAGAAAAUCCAAAAGAAAGAAUAAAAAAUAGUUAUUCAUAAAGAAUGAAAGAAUAUUUGCUAAAAAAUGAUAUCAAAGAUAUAUUUUAUUAAAAUAACGACGUUCAGUUAUGAGCCUAUUUCACAAAAGAGUUCUUAAUGCCUCUAGGCUAAAAGCAACAAGUGUGUUCUGAAUAUUACUCUAAGUAAGCUCUAGAUACUACAGGGUCUCUUCUUCUGUCUCAUUAUUUAGAACACUCCCAGGUUUAUAAGGGUGAAUAUCUAAUAAGAUAUCUUCUUCAGUCGUUUCUUCGUAUACGGUAUUGAUGUGAACGUUUCCAAACAUUUCUUCAUUCAUCGCAUUCUCCCCAUUAUCCAUAUGAUUGAGUAGCGGGUUUUCUGUACUGAGUAAAUCCUCGAAUUUGACAAUGCCCAUAUUGAUAAACCUUUCGAUCAACUUUUUAAAGGCAGUGCAGUUUUUUAUAGAAUGCCCUAUAAUUCUCGCAUGAUAGUCACAUUGCGCAUUUGUGUCGUACCAUUUGGGGUACGGAGGUUAUAAAGGCUUCAAGUAGAAAGGGGAGACAACAUGUGUGUCAAAUAAACUCUGAUAUAGCUCCCGGUAUGACAUUGGGAUUGGUGUAAAUUGAGACUUCUCAAUGUUUUACUUUGUGCCAGAUUCUUGUCUCGGGGGGAUCUGAUGGCUGGAAGCAACUAUCCUCGACUGGCCUGCGACAAUUAGCUUUGAACAACCCUCGUUAUAACUACUCGCAUCACUCACCUUAUUUUUCCUCUUCUUCAAGGCCUUUGAAGUAUUGAUUUGGGAGUUCCACUCUUGCCCUCUCCAUUUGUAAUGAUCUCCAAAUUAUUUCGAGAACUCCACUUUCGCCUGUUUUGUUCCCGCUAGAUCAUCAAUGACAACGGGAUUGGUUAGAUUGCCCCUAAGGUUGGAACUUGAGCCUGUCGUGAAAUUCACCGGUGUCGAGGUACUAGUCUGGUAUUGUGGUCGGAUGUUAACAGUUACCCUUUGUGGAUAUGUAUUUGGUUGUGCUUGGAUGUUUGUUGGGGUAAAGUCUGGAAAAUAAGCAGGGUCUUCAUUAUCAUCUCCAAAGUGGAACGCUGGGUUUUUUCCUUUUUCUAACCCUCUAUCCAAUAACUGGAUUAACUGGCUCAUCAGAUUUCUUUGGACUUCUAGCAUCUGAUCCUUCAUAUCUUGUUGAAAUUUGGUCAAUUGCUCUUGCAUCUGUAUUUUCCUUUGCUCUAAUCUCUCCAACCUUUGGUCCAUUUCUUUAGUUCCUGUUCGGGUAGCGCAAGGGUGUUGGUUUGGUAGGUUGGUUUCCAUUGACUCUGAAAUGAUUUCUUUUAAUUAGGGUUCUUUCGUGAAAUUUAAUGCAAAUGAUGCAAUGAAAUGUAAUGCAGAUGCAUGGAAUGAAUGCAAAAAGAAAAAGAGACAUUGAUCCUGAAUUCAAUUCCAUUAGAACAACUUUUCUAGAGAACAAAUCUCUUUACAUAAAGCGAAUAUAUAUAUACAGCUUUGCCCUCAUACUCCAAGCGAAGACAUCGAUCCUUUUCCUCAUCCAGAUGUUAAGAUAAAUCUCACGAACUCUUUAAAAAGGACAUCUCUUCUAUCUCUUUUUUGCUUGAUCUAGCCCGCGACUCGUUGCUCACUCAUCCUCGUGAUGUUCAUUAGCUUCAUGAUAGCUCUCGAAUAAUCUUUGUCGGUUUGAAAUCCUUGGGUAGCGAAGCAUAGUCGUAUAUUCCUCCACGGACUUCUAGCCUUCUCUCGUUGUGUUUAAUCAAUCCAUAGUCAGGCAGUCGCAUCAUAUUCUACUUUAUUAAGAAAUUCGUUUUCCAUGACAAGCUUUUCUAUUUAGCAAUCAAAUUCGAAUCAAAACCUCUUUUCUAUGAUGAAAAUUCAAUGCAGUCAUAACCAUAACAAAACAAGUUAGUACAAAGCAAAAGCAAACAAGAAAGAAACAAAAAGAACACCUAUUCGGGUAACUACUAGAGGUUCAAAGUGGUUCUACCUAGGGUGGCCUCCUAAGGUAUUCUACAUGUGGUUUGGUUCUAAAGCAAGGGUACUCGAACAAGCAGAUUCCUCGAUCCUCACCCAUUAUAGGCUCAUACGGACCGAGUUUGGUUCAGGGGAAUACAUUUCCCUAUGGCUGCACAGAGAUGAAAAUCUCACGAAGACAUAGGUACGGAUGUAUCCUGGAAGCGAUUCACUAUCCCAUGCAGAGGUGAAAACCUCACGAAGGCGUAGUUUCUCACUCCCACUUAAAAGUGUGUGACCAACGGUCAUGCAAUGCAAUGUGCAGAAAUAUAUAUCUAAACUUAAAAUAAAACAGUAAUUAUAAACAAAAUAAUAAAGGCCGAAAUAAAGACAAAUGAAAUGCAAUAAAAGGGUCGUGUCAAGUUUUCAAUCUUCGACAAAAGACAAAAAUAAUCAACACAUGGCUUGACUCUCUUAUAUAUUUUUUGAAGUUCCCAGUGGAGUCGCCAAGCUGUUGACACCAUUUUUUUGUGGAAACGGGGUCGACUUGGAUUUUGAAAAUGAAAAUGAAAAUGGGAGUCGCCACCAAUCCUUUUUGAUAAGCUGUGAUCGAAUCACCUUGAAAAGUGGUUGUUUUUAAUAAACGAUUUGAUUUUAUUAAAACAACGGUUUUGGUCCACGAAAUUUAGAAAAAUAGGUUCGGGAGUCGGUUACGUACGAGGAAGGAUUAGCACCCUCGAUACGCCCAAAAUUGAUACCUAGUUGAUUACUUAAUGUCUAAGUGUCGAAAACUAAAAACUUUAAAGAGAUUUAAAAUACGAUCCUUAAAAAAAACUCGAAUGACAUGGAUUAAGAUUUAGGAGGAUAUUUGGCUAUUUGGUCGAACGAGAAAUCGAAACCCAGCACAUUAGGGCACGUUUUCUCAAAUUUCCAAACGCAAAACAUUGUUUUAUUUUGAACUUUUUUAAAGGGAUAUUUUGCUAUUUGGUCGAACGAGAAAAAAAUCGAAACCCAGCACAUUAGGGCAUGUUUUCUCAAAUUUCCAAACGCAAAACAUUACCUUAUUUUGAAAUUUUUAAGAGGAUAUUGGUAUGCGUAACAAAAUGUUAAUGAAUACAAUGGUGUAGCAUAAAUAAUACGAAUAAUAGUAAUGAAAAUAAAUUGGAUAAAAAGGGCAAAUCAAUGACAUGUAAAAUAACAAUACAUAUAAGCAAGUAAAGUAAAUAUAGAUAUAUUUAAAAUAAUGAUGAAAACGUAAAUAAAUAAAUAAAGAGAAUGAAUAAAAUUUAAAAAAAUAUAAAAAGAUGUAUAUAUAUAUAUAUAUGCAUUUACGAAAAUAAAAUAGGUAUAUAGAUAUAUGUAGACAUGUAUGUAAAUUAAAAACAUAUAUAUAAAAUUAUGAGUAUGUAUAUAUAUACAUACAAAUAAGUUAUAAAGAUAUAUAUAUGUAUAUACGUGUAAAUAUAUAUUAUAAAAUAUAUGUAUGAAUAUAUGUACACAAAAAUUAUAAAGUAUAAUAAAAAAAUACAUAAGUAGGUGUGUAUAAAAGAAAUAAUAAAUCGAAUAAUAAUGAUAACUAAUGAACCGAGCAAAACAAAACUAAAAAAUAAGAAAAUAAAAAAGGAUAAGAAUAAGAAAGUUGAAUAAAUAAAUGAGCUAAACGGAUUUAGGGACUUAAUCGUAACCCAAAAUAAAUUUAAAGGAUAAAUUAAAAUAAAGUAAACAAGUAAAAGACCAAAAUGAAAGCGCGACAACUAACGAGGACCAAAAUGGGAAUAAAACCCAAAUUCGGACACAUGUCCAUCGUUUUAGCGCAUCAGUGAGCCAGGGACGAGAUCGAAAAAAAAAACAAUUUCAGGGCUAAAUUAAAAGAAAACAAAAAUGAACAAAAAGGAGUAAAUUUAAAAGAAAAUAAAUAUGGAAGGACCAGGGUCGCAAAUAGACCCUUGGUCCAAAAACACGCGGAUCCUUGAGGUCCAACGGGUCGGAUCUCAGGUUGCUUCAAAAAGGCGCCGUUUUGGUGCUGAAGCUCCCCAGGUGAAACGUCGUAUCAAUCCCACUAUAAAUAAUAAAAAAACCUAACAAAAAAAGCAUUUGAAAUGGUUUCAAAAAAAAUUUCCCUUUUCUCUCUGAGUCUCCAGAGUCCGGCCAUGAAAACCGACGCACCCCCGUCGUAGCUCCGCCGCAAGUGGGGGCCGGAGGUGCAAAGGUCGGCCUUUCUUAGCCCCACUUGGAGCUCGUCCCCUCUAGAACCCGGGUUCAACGUUGGAUCCUCUAAAAGGUGGCCACAAACCCUAGAACCGAAGGGAAACCGUUCGGCUUCCCCUCCUCAGGCACGGCACAGGUAAACCCACUUUCCUUUUUUUUUUCUUUUCUUUUAUGCUAUUUCGAAAUAGAUAUGUAACAGAGCAAGAAAAGCGAAAAAAAAAAUUUGGCCAUUACCUUUAAUCCGUUUUUUUGUAUAUAUUUUUUUAAAUUUUUGAAUACAGAAAAUCCCCCCUUUUACAUUUUUUUCUCGGCCUCUUAUAGCUGAUUUACACUUUUUACUUCUAUUUCUAUUACUGUUUCUUCCUCUAUUCUUGCUGCUUGUUUUUGUCUUCUGUUUGCAGGUACAUGGCAAGGUCAACUUGCCGUUUUGGUGAAAGGAGGGUUGGCGGUGGCAGAUAUCGGGCGUGGUGCACGCUGAAGGCGUACAUGGGGUAGCAGCGGCGCGUUAGGGGUCAGGUGCCGCUCCAGGAACCCUAGGGUUUCUGGCAUUCUGAAAAUGUCUAAACACUUUGGACCAUUUGGGCUUUUAAAUUUUGGGUUGUAAUAUUUAGAUUUUUUAUUUAUUUUGGUUUGGUUCUGGUUGCUCUAUUGAUUGGGUUACUGGGCUGGGCAAAAAUUCGGGCUGUACAAGAGGAACUCACAUGUGAUCUCAUGAAGGUUUGGAUUGCUAAGUCAUCGGACACACCCUUCAUAAUCAUGGUGGUUGCAUUAAAUCUCUUCAUAAAAUCGCGGAGGGAUUCAUUUACUCACUAUCGGAUGGACAUGGGAUAUGUUGAGGACUGUUGGGCUCUCUUGUUGGCCUAAAAUCUAUUCAUGAAUAAAUUAGCCAGCUGAUCAAAGCUACGAAUGGACCCUUGAGGAAGCGACAAGUACCACUGUCGGUCAGUGUUGGAUAGAGCCAUGGAGAAGCUCUGCACUUGACAGCAUUGGAAGCCCCACGGGUAUUCAUGUAAUUGUAGUAAGAAAGAUGAUCUUCCGGAUCUCCCACCCCAUUGUAAGAGAGUUUGGGGAAUUUGAAGGAGGCAGAGAGGUUGUGGGUCAAAACCGAGGCUUUGUUAGUCUUGAAACCCUUGACUUCUUGCAGCAACUCCAAUUUAAGGGUUGCUAUUUGCUCCUCAAAGAAAGCUACUUUGUUACGGGUCCCCUGAUCCGAAUGGUUGGUGAGUUGAACUUCUUCCAUAUCAUCAUCAUCGUUAUUGUCCUUCUAAUUCUUGCGAACAGUGGACUGAGCCGAACCUUUCAGAUGGAAAGGAGGGGGUAAGUUGGAAUCCUUAGUAGCAUCCUUGGUUGCUCGCAGUUCUGCAAUUAAUUGCUCGUUAUGAGCAUUCUGCAGAUCCAACAGGCGUUGGCUCUCUUGUUGCUCUUGAAACUGGCGCUGCUGGGCUAGAAGCUAUUCUUCCAUGAGACGCAUCUUCUCUUGCAUCUCAGUGACUUGGUGCUAAGGGCCAGAGGCUUAUUGUGGCAUAAACUUUCAACCCUUCCCUACAAAACUCGUUUAGUUGUCUAAUCUUUAAUCCUAGUUGGGACAAAAUUUUAUGUUUGAAAUGCUUGGUGAUAUAAUCUGCAGACAACAGAGAAAUCUUAUUGUUCCUAAAACACCUAUGUUCGUGAUGGUAUGUCUUAAUACAGAAGCCAUGUUCUCUAGAGUUGUAGCUUGCAAACAACCUCCGUGGACAACUACCAACGCAACCUACCCCGACUCUUUGCAAACACCCUUUGCAAAUGCAUAUUUCUUAACUGCCUCUUUAAAUUUUUUAUUGCUCUCAAAUCUCAUACCUAGUUCACAUAUUGGCAAGAUACAAUUAGCAUCAUACUUCGGUCCAACACUCCUCCUAACAGAAAACUCGUCAUCAGAUUGCACAUCACUAUCAUAAUCUCCAGGAUCAUCAGAGUCCAUGCCUUUACUAAAACCGUCAUUCACAACACCAUCACUAACCUUUAAAUGACCUUCGAUCCUAGUAGUUUCAACACCAUCAUUCACAAUAGCAUUUGGAGAAUACAAGUCCAAAUCAUUUCCUAUAUUACUUGUUUUUUUUCUGUUUGUAUUGCUUCAAUUUUUUUUUGAUUCCUCGAAUCUCCUCAUCUUCAUUUUCACUCAAGCACUCAACAUCAAAUAAUAAAGUGUCUCCUGAUUCUAUAUUGUUCACUCUUUCAGCGUUAUCAUCUUCAUCAUCAACCUCAUAUACUCCCUCAACAAUAGUGGAUUUACCAGGCCUAUCAUGAUAUACACAAUCCUCAUGCCUCACAAGUUCAAUCUCAAUAUUGUUAACAUCAAUAUUACCUCCUUGGUUUUCACCUCUAAGGACUAAAAGAUUAUCAUCCAACAAUGGUCUAAAUACAGAUCUACAGUGCCCCAUUUAACCAAAACGUCUAUCAAGUCAGUUACACAGUAACCAUCAUUAACUAACAUGAAACUGUGGGUAAAGUCAGUGGUAAAUAAAGGGCACAUCAACAUACCCCAAUUCUCUAACAAAGCCUUCUAUAAUAGAAAGAGAUAGCAUCUCAAGAUCUACUUAAAAACUAUUACUUCUGUCAUUUACGUAUACAAUCUUCAACUCAUAUUGAAAAUGGCCAUCGAGAAAUAUUCUUACCAUAUAUUUUCCCUUUGGUUGAUCAUCAUCCAUGUUGCAUAUAACAAAAUUAAAUUUAAUGAUUUUCUUCAACCAUAAUAUACUGAUAUACAUUGGAUACGAGUAUGACUUGGAUGUUUAGUCAUGUACUUGAAAUAAAAAAUUUGGAUAAAAAAAGUUUAUAUAGUUUAGAAAAAGAUUCUUAAGAACAUAAUGUAGCAGACCCAAUUAGCCCGGGCCCGCAUGAAGAACCCAAACCAAAAAAACCCAAAUAAACAGUCAAGUGUUUUACAGGCCCAAUAAUAUUAAACCUAAAAAACAAUUAGCCCAAACCCCAAUAGCCCAUUAACUAAAAUAUAGCAGCAACCCUAGCACCAUACACCCUAGCCGUCGUAGCCUCCAUGCCUCCAGCAGGAUUCCAGGCGCCGCACGUCUCGGGGCCAACCUUCUCUCCACGCACGCCGUACUCUUCAUGAACACCUGAAAAAACGGACUAAGAGUCCACAAAGAAAAAUAUUGUAAAACUAAUGUAUUUUCUUAGGCUAUAAAAAGCCUAAAUCUAUACAUUGAGAAGGGGGAGAUGGAAAAAAGAGACUGAAAAUAAAGGCAAAGAGAUAGAAAAAUACGGAGAUAAUCUUGAAUACAAAGUGUUUUUUUUAAGGUGAUUUGCGUUUUAUUUUCUUAGUCUAUUCUAUUUUUUUUCUUUUAACAAAAGCAAAGGAAAGAAACUUACCUUCGGAGCCCAUCGCGUCGCAUCUCCGAUCGGUGAAAGCGCAGUGGAGACCGGUUGCGGCGGCGGUGCAAAGAGGGGCCUAAAAACCCUAGCAAAGGGCCUUCAGUUUUUUUUUUAAUUUUUUUCCUUUUAUUUGGUUUCAAAUGGUUUUAGAAAAAAACUACUUUAAAUAGCAGAUUAAAACAGCGCCGUUUUAUCCAGGCCUUGACCCGCGCGGUGACCUGACUCGGAGGGGAGGAUCCGCGCGUUCUGGUCGAAUGGGAGAUUGGCGCGAAUGGUCCAUGCUGGUUGCGAUGCGCUUCAGUCAAAUCCCUUUUGUUUUUUUUAAAUUUAGGCCGCAUAUUUAGUUUUUGUUUCAAUUGGGUCCCUCGCCGCGCAGCGCAUUGGAAGGACGGGAUAAUUUCCCUUUUGGUCCUCCAUUGUUACGCGCGCAUUCAAGUGGGCCCCUUUUUUUAAAAUUUUAUUCUAAAUUCGCCCCAUUGCUUCGUUUUUAACUCAAUUUAAUCCAUUUUUUUGUUUUUAUCAUAAUUAUGCUAUAUCAUUUUUUAUUUUAUCCUAUUUAUUGUUAUUAUUAUUUCAUUCAUAUAUACGCCUAUUUUAAUCUACAUGCUUAUUUAAUACAUAUAUGUUUUUAAGUUUUCAUGAACACAUGCAUUCAUACAUUUUUAAACUUUUUUUUACAGUUUUUUUAGUUUUUUAACUUUCUCAUACUUUAUAUUCCAUAUAUAUACUUAUACAUUUUUAAAAUAGAUACAUAUAUACAUACAUGUUUUAGUUCUUAUAUACAAAUAUUUUAUACAUUUUCAUAUAUUCUGUUUCCAUAGUUUUUAUAAAUAAAUAUGUAUAUAUAUAUGUAUACAUCUACAUUUUAUAAUACAUAUGCAUUUUUUUUUACAUAUACAUGUUUUUAGAAAUUAUUAUAAAUUUUGUUGUUUAUUUGUACACUUAUAUGUGCAUUAACGUAUGCAUAUUUUUUUUUAUUUUUUUUCGAUUUUCAUAUUCACACCUACAUGCAUUUUUUUUAUAUAUUACAUUCCGUCAUUUUAUAUGUAUUAUUGUAUAUGUGUUAAGUAUAUAUGCAUACCUAUCUGCAAAUUCAUUUAUUGUACUUGUAUAUAUAUUUGUAAAUAUUUAUGCAUAUAUGCUUUAAGUUAGAGUAUCCAUUUCAUAAUUGUACAUUAAUGUUUUUGACAUACAUUUUAGAAAAUAUAUUUGUUUUGGUUUUGCCAAAGCCUUAAAAUCAUUUUUUUUCUCAAUUCAUAAGUUUGUGAAUAAAAGCAAUAUUCAAGGUUUUGGGAUUUUCGAGGAAAAUUGAGCCCUAACGUAUUGGGUUCCGAUUUUCUUUGUUGAUUUCAAAUAACCGAGAAUAUUCUUUAUUUUAAAUACACGAGCACCAAAAAAAUCAUUUUUGGGGACUUAAUUUGUUGUGCCCUAACGUAUUGGACGUGACAUAUUACUUCCUCAAAAUGAAGAUUUUCGUAUAAAAUGAGAAUGACUUGAACAAUUGAUUAUCCUUUUUCAAAAUUCAUCAUUUGAGUUGAUUUUAAAAUCCUUUUAACCUUCGACACUAAGACAUUAAAUGAUCAAUUUGGUAGCGAUUUUGGGCGUUAUGAGGGUGCUAACCCUUCCUCGUGCGUAACUGACUCCUGAACUCGUUUUCUCAAAAUUUGUAGACCAAAAUAAUUUUUAAGGUGAGCCGAUCACACCUUAAUAAAGGAUCGGUGGCGACUCCAAUUUUAUUUUUAAAGUCGACAACUAAAAUUUUUGUUUUAAAAAAAACGGUUUCGACACAUAAAACAUUGGACAAGCUGUUUAAUAUCCGCAACUUAACAAUAAGAGGGUACUAAUUCUAUAAUAAAAUAAUAGUUUAAAUAUAAAAUUCAUACAUGAACUUAUCCACUUUUUCUUAAUUGAUACUUAAAGUUUUUUUUUUAUCUUAAAUUGAUAUUUGAAUUUUUUUUCCAUCAACUAAAUUAAUAUUUUUCUCUAAUAUCAUUUGUUUUUUUAAUGAUGUGAUAAUGCUAACUAAUCUGAAACAUAAAAAAAACGGUAAGUAUCAAUUUGAAAAAGUGAACAAAUUCAAAUACCAAUUUUAUAUUUAAUCCUUAAAUAAUCAAAUGAUCAGCACAACUUAAAAUUUGAGAACUUUUUAAUGAACAUGUUUUGAUGAAUGGAAUGUCUCUCAAAGGCAAUCAGAGAUGGUUUCCAUUUCUUGAAAUUUUCUUUAAAAUUCUACUUUUAUAAAUAUCACUAUUCACAUACUGUAAAAAAUUUUGAAGUCCAAUGUUGAUAAGUUAUAAAAUCCCUUUCUUUUCCAGUUAACUUAUUCUUGUUUUUCUAAAAAGUCUUGCCUGCCUUCCUAUUUGAGUAGUCAACCUACAAUGCAGAAUUGAUGGAAAAUCACAUAAGAACAAUUUGGGUGUUGACAGCCUCUUCUGGCCUUUUAUUUAGUUUAAUGAGCCCCUGUAUAUGUCUAUGUCCUUUUCUUUUUGUUAAAAAUUCUUUAAAAAAUAUAUGAAAGCUAAUGAUAGACCAAUUUUUCAUUUGAAUAAAUGAAAAUAUGAGAAGAGGACAUCACAGAAAAUUUUGAUGAAAUGGUUUCCACCAAUAUGAGAAUCUUCCUUCAACUAAUUUGACUUUGCCUGAUUUUGGCUUUUGUUUUUGGGUAAUUCACCAACAGUACAAAGAAAAAGAAAAGCUCUAGUGUGUGUUAGGUUAAAAGUAAAUUUGAUUAAAUUGUAUAGUUAUAGAUUUAUGUCAAUCUUUUACCACCAUUAGAUUUUUGAUACAAUUUAAAGAAAAACAAAAUUGUUUUUGCUUAUUUGUAUAUUUCCAUCUAACUUGUUAAGAGGGGUGAAUUGGUGGUUAAAAAGAUAUAAAAAAAUAUGAAAAGUAAUGCGUAUUCAAGAAUUUAUACUAGUUUGGCUCUGAUUGUGUACCUCCACUACCUUAGCUUACCAUAGCAAGAUAGAACCCCUCCCCUUAAGCAAACUCUUACAAGCAUGAUAAAAAGGAAUAAGGAUUAAAAACACUUUUCAAAGGAAGAUAUUACAUAACAACACAACACUUGGAAGAAUGAAAGAGAUUAUUGCCUAAGUGUGAGUAUGAAGAACAAAGAAAAGAUUGGAUUUUUGUACAAUUGACUUUACAAACUCGUUUCUUGUCUUCAAUAUGGAGCUAUUGACUUGUAUUUAUGCCUUCUAACAACUUUAGAGAUAUUGGGAGCAAAUUAAAGUCUGUUGCUAUAAUAAAUUCGAGUAUUACUUGCAGACUGUAGACUUGUGUUGAUAGAAGUCUUUGAAAAUGUGACCGUUGGAGCCUAAUGGAUCGGUAAAUGUCUAAGGGUUUCAAAGGGUUUGAUUUGUGUCGAUAGUUAUAUAGCUAGUGUAAAUGCCCGAUUUUGCCCGGGUCUAAAAGGCCCGAAUAAAAAAUAGGCCUAUAUGGUCAAUUAAUAGUCGGCCCAAAAAUACAUGGCCCAAUAAUGACCCAAAUAUAGUGGCCCAAAACAAAGGAAGAAACCCUAGGGUUUCUAUGGAGUUCAUCAGCGUUGUAGCCUGUCCGCGCCGCAGCCAAGAGCCAAAUCUUCACCUGCAAGGAACAAACGCAAGAAAGGAAACAAAAUCAAAUAUUUGUAAAACCAAAUCAAUAUGAGCAGUUUUGAUUUCUUUAUAUUUUUCUCAUUAUGGCUAUAAGAUAGCCAUUGGUACACUGUAAUCGGGAUUCCGAAUUCGAAAAUCAAUACAAAAAAGCUAUUAUUUUCACAGCAAACAGAAUAUCAAGAAUACAAAGAUCUAUCAAAAAAUCGAAAGGUUGAUAUUUUAGCAUCAUCCUAUUCUAUAUUUUCUUUUAUUUUUUUAUUUUUUUUACUUAGCUAAAAUACAGUAAAACAAAAAAAAUAAAGAACUUAUCUUCGCUCGCUUCUGAAACGCCGUUGAGGCGGCCGAGGUUUGUCUCCAAAGAUAGACGAUCGGAAGCCGAAGGAUUUUUUGGGUUUUUGGGGUGUUUUGGUUCACUUUUGGAAGGUUUUAAGCCCAGAUUCGGAUUCAGAGGGAUCAAAAAGGGCGAGUAGGGGUUUUUCCCCUUUUUCAGCCACCGCAUAUGGCGGUGCCGGUGCCGAAGACCGGUGGCUGAGGACUGGCCGAUGACCAGACCUCUGGCCGGACGAGCUGGAAAGGGAGAGUUUUUUUUUGUUUUUUUCAAAAAGAAUGAAAAAUGAAAUUUUUUUAAAGUAUUUUUGGCUUAAAUAGCCUAUCGAAACGGCAUCGUUUCACUAAACCUCCCCAGGCGCUAAAACGACGUUGUUUUGGGAGGCCGACCCGAAUCCGAGCCGACCCGACCUAGGAUCCACAUGUUUUUUAGCAGAGGGGUAAAUUACGUUUUUAUCCCCUCCGCCUUUUAAUGUUUUUACAAUUAAGUUUUUUUAUUUUUUAAUUCACCCUUUUAAUUUAUUUUAAAUUACUAUUUGGUCCAAUUUGAACGGCGCCGUUUUAGAGGAGAAGGGAUAAUUUCCUUUCUAGCCCCUCUACAUUAUUUGCGCAUUCAAUAUGGUCCUUUGGACUUUAUUUAUUUGCGAAUUUGCCCCAGAUUUUUCAUCUUCAGUUCAAUUUAGUCCUUUUUUAUAUAUAUUUUUAAAUUAGUUAAUUUCCAUGAUAAUUUUUCUUUAUUUUUUUAUAAUUUAUAUAUGUAUAAAUUUUUUUCAUAUAUAUGUACAUGUAAAUAUAUUUAUAUAUAUAUAUAUUGGAUAUUUUAUAUAUACGAGUAUAUCUAUGUUUUUUUAUUUAUUUUCAAAAACGCUUAAAUCCGUAUAUAUAUAUUUUUUAAAACACAUAUCUUAAUUUAUAUGCAUAUAUUUUUCUUUAUUUUCAUAAAUACAUUAUGUAUUUUAUAUGUAUGAAUUUUAUAACCCAAAAGCUUUAUGUAUAAAUUACCUUUAUGUCUUUUAUUUCUUCAUAAUUUCAAAUGUAUGUAUAUUUUGUACCUUUUAUUCUAUAUUUUUGUUUAUUUUCUUUAUUGAUUUAUGUUUACAUUUAUAUUUUGUGCAUUUGACACUUUACAUGUCGUUGUUGUUUUUAUGUACAUUAAUUUCGUUUAUUUCUAUGCUAUUGUUGUAUUUAUUAUUGUAUUUUACACUAAAUGUAGCAUUAUAUCAUUUUUUACUCGAUUUUAAAAUUUUCAAAAUUGAGAUAAUACUCGUAUUUAGGAUUUUCAAGGAAAUUGAGCCCUAACGUAUUGGGUUCUGAUUUUCUUCGAUAAAUCUAACAAUCGAGAAUUGCUCAUUAAUAAAAAAAGAUGAAAAGCUUGUUGUCGGGAAUUUAGUAUGUUGUACCUAACAUAUUGGAUGUGACGUAUUGAUUUCUCGAGACAAAGAUUUUUUAAAAAAUAAUAACAAAGGAAAUGUUCCAAGUUUAGGAUUUUGAGAGAUUGUGCCCUAACGUAUUGGGCUGCGAUUUCUUAAAUCUUAAACAAAUGAAUAUUCUUUUGAAUUUUUAUGACACGAGUAUUUUGGACUAAUUCAUUUUUGAGGAAUUAGAAUGUUGUGCCCUAACGCAUUGGGUGUGACAUUUUCUUUCUCCGAAAUGAUAAGAGUCUUAAUAAGUAACUUUUUUUUUAAGUUUUUAUUAAGGACCAUAUUUUUAAAUUUCGACAUUAAGACACUAAUUAAUUAACUAGGUACCAAUUUUGGGCGUUACGAGGGUGCUAACCCUUCCUCGUAUGUAAUCGACUCCCGGAUCCAUUUUUGUAAAACUCGUAGAACAAAGCUAUUCUUUUAAGUGAUCCAAUCACACCUCAAUAAAAGAUUGGUGGAGACUCCAAUUUUCAUCGACAACUAAUUUUUGUUUUUUCAAAAUAAAAGUUGGUUUCGAUAGGUAGAAGGUGCAAGGAAGCUAAAAAUGCUCACUGGCUUACUUGUAUCAGUAGAAGGGUUCCGAAGUAUUACUACAAGUCUACCGCUACAAGUGCUAAAGUUUCGAUAGAAGAGCCUCCAAGUACCGGUAGAAGUUUGAAUGAAAUUUUGGGAUGCUCUUUGACUUACUUCUAUCUAAAAAAAUAUGCACUUGUAUCGACAGAAGUAUCCCAAUAGGUAAAAUUGGUUCUGAAUCAGUAUUUUUUAAAUCUAAGUUUAUAAUAACUUUAAAAAUAAUUUUAUAAGCUUAUAUAAAUUAUUGCCGAUUUGACUAAAUGAAAUUUUAUAAUUUAACUUUUUAAUAUAAAAACAUUUGAAAAACUAAAGCUAACAUAAUUUAAAUUUCAUGUCAUCACAAAAUGCAAAGUAUGAGUAUAGAUUGAAGAAAAGGGGCUUUAAGCCAUCUUAAUAAAAAUAUAAUUUAUUUAAAAUCACCUUUAUAUUUUUUUCCUAUUAAAAAGAGAUCAAAUAAUCUCAAGAAACAAACUCCAAAUAGGCAACUGCAUCCUUUUCAAGUAGAUAAAGAGCCACGAUCGAAGGUGCGGGGAAAGUCACCAAUUUAGUCACACGAUGAAGUAAUAGACAGUCUAAUCUCUUUCACAAUUGUUGGCAAUCUAUCAUUAUCAUACUAAUGUUCUAACAUGUUAACAAGCUCCAUAUUUUCGCAUUCCACCUACAGUUUUGUAUGACUAGAAUCCCAUGCUAACUUCAAGCCAUCUAACAUUACCCAAUCUUCAGCAAUAAAGAUAGAACAAUUACCAACAAAUUUGCCAUAACCGAGCAACCAUCUCUUGUUAUGAUCACGCAAAAAUCCACCCGAACUAGCUCUCCCCGCCAUUUCUUUAAUUGACUCAUCAUUAUUGAGUUUGGUCUACCCCAAAUGAUACAUGCAUAGAUGGGUAAAAUCUAUUGAAGUUGUUAGGGAUCGACCCGAUUAAGCAACAAGUAACAAAAAUAGCGGAAUAAAUUGAGAAAUUGAACACACAAAUUUAACGUGGAAAAACCCCUCCAAAGAGGAUAAAAAAACCACGGGUAAAGAUAAGUUUACUAUAAUGGCAAAAGAACGAAGAGUACAAAAGAUGGAGAUAAAACUAAACCCUAAAAAACCCGAAAACAAAGAACCCUCAAAACGUAAACACAAAAUUCUCUAAAUGUGUUAUGAGUUCUAAUAUCUAAUGGGUGCCUUUUCUAAGGUUGUAAAAGAGCCUAUUUAUAGGUUAAAUUCAUAUGUCAAAUAAUAAUAAAAUAAUCUAAACUAAUCAGUGUUUGACUGAAAUAAAUAAACAGGGUUUAACUAAAAGAUUAUUUUUCAAAUUUGACUGAAAGUAUGAGUCAUACUUAACAAAUCUCCACCUUGACUCAUAUUUCUACAACGCCAUCUUUGCCAAAGCUCGCCACGAGCCUAUCUUGAACUAUGCAGGGAAUUAACUAGGUCGAAUCUGUGCUUAGAAACUGGAAGACUUCUAGCCUUCAACUUGUACACCGCCAAAUCAAAACUAACCCGGGUCUGAUUUUCACGAACACAGUGCCCUAACUUUUCAAAACCUGCAUCCAAAAGAGAACCUCUCUUCAACAAAACGGUCAUACAUUUUUCCCUCCUAUGACCAAGUUGCCUUCGCUCCAAACGAGUUGACUUCUACUCUGUAACGGACGAGGGACGUCCGAUUUCAUCGGUCACUGUAGAACCUUCCAUAAUAUAAAGACUGUCAUUUCUUUUACCUUUUAACAAAAUGAGAGCUUCAUGAGAUACUCUAAUGUCGCGUGACUCGAUGUUGAUUUUGCAUCCUUUCAAGUCUAAAAUACUCAAGAAGAUGAGAUUUUUUCGUAAAUCAGGUACAUACCUGACAUCUGAGAGUGUCCUAAUCGUCCUAUUGUGUAUCCUAAUUUUAACAGUACCAAUACCAAUUACCUUACUAUAUGAAUCGUUUCCCAUUAAACAACUCCACCUUCAACUGAACUGUAUGUAGAGAACCAUUCUCUAUUGGGACACAUGUGGAAAGAACAUCCCGAAUCUAGGAUCCACUCGAACGUGAGCUUGGAGUUAUCGCUCGUUGACACUAACAAGAAACCACCAUCGCUUUCAUCGAUCAAAUUAGCACCAGCUACAUCUUCCUCGUUACUCUCAGUAGCUCUUUUAUUUUGCAGUUUAUAACAAUCUGCUUUGACGUGACCUAAAUUUUUACAAUAGCGACACCUUUUGUCUCGUUUCUUUGAUGCUAUCAAAAUGAAAGCUUGCCUAUCUGCCUUGCUAUCCAAAUGAAGCUCAUUGUCGAGUUUGUCUCUACUCAACAAAUGACCCUUCACAUCUUCGAACGAGAGUUUAUCUCCGCCAUAAAUCAGGGUCUCCCUAAAAGACUUGUAUGAAGGGGGUAAAGAGAAAAAUAAUAGCAUAGCUUGAUCUUCAUCAUCAGUAUGAACCUCAACGUUCUUUAAAUCAUUUAAAAGAGUAAUGAAUUGACUGAUGUGAUCUCUAAUAAGCCCACAUUCGUUCAUGCGAAACGUAAAUAGACGUUGUUUCAACACUAAACAGUUAGCCAGAGACUUAGUCGCAUAAAGAGUUUCUAACCUUUUUCAAACCGGAUUGAACUAGAAUUGCCAUCAUCCGAACUUGCCACAGAUUGAAAUUUGUCUCACCAUCGAACUUCUCAAUUUCAAACCUUAUUGUUGUCAUAUCUGAAUGGGCUGAUAUUUGAACUAGCUCUGAUACCACUUGUUAGGGAUCGAACCGAUUAAGCAACAAAUAACAAAAAUAGCGGAAUAAAUUGAGAAAUUGAACACACAAAUUUAACGUGGAAAAACCCCUCCAAAGAGGAUAAAAAACCACGGGCAAAGAUAAUUUUACUAUAAUGGCAAAAGAACGAAGAGUACAAAAGAUGGAGAUAAAACUAAACCCUAAAAACCCGAAAACAAAGAACCCUCAAAACUUAAACACAAAAUUCUCUAAAUGUGUUAUGAGUUCUAAUAUCUAAUGGGUGUCUUUUCUAAGGUUGUAAAAGAGCCUAUUUAUAGGCUAAAUUCAUAUGUCAAAUAAUAAUAAAAUAAUCUAAACUAAUCAGUGUUUGACUGAAAUAAAUAAACAGAGUUUAACUAAAAAAUUAUUUUUCAAAAUUGACUGAAAAUAGGAGUCAUACUUAACAGAAGUCAAUUCAACCAAGCUAUCACUUUUCAAGUUUGGAAUAUCAGUCGACUUGCGAUGAAUUUUUGGAUGGGAUCCAGAUAUUUCUGGACUGAGAUAUCUGCAUAGCAUUUGAAGAGUUACCUCUUAGAUUUGAAACGCACUUUGAAUCAAUCGAUUUCAAGUCCAGGAGGUCAAGUUAUGAUCAUUUUACUGAAUACUGUGUGAGUAGAAUUUUUGGAUAGAAUUAUUACAAGAAAUUACGAGUUUCGGACUUUAAUGCAAGUUGAAAUCAUAUUGUGUUCGAUUUUUAGGCUUAAAUUUUAUUAUAUAUGAGUACAAUAUUGCAUUUAUUAAGUUUUAUUAUUUUAUUAUUUCUUUAUUCUGAAUUUUAGGAUAUUUUUAAGUAUUUAAAGUUGUUUAAGAGUUUUAUGUUUCUUAGUUAAUAAGAAAGUUUAGUUUUACUAAAACUACUCAUUGUUUAGAUUAAUUACAGUUUCAUUAUACUUGAGAGUUUUAUUUAGAUGUAAUUAUCUAGCCUAUAUAUUGGUCUUUUCAUUGUUUAUUAAAAGCAUUGAUAAAAUUGAUUCAUUCAUUAAUAAAAUUUUCAACUCUAAAAGUUAAUUUCUUUCAUGCAGGAUUCUUUUCUCGUGAUUUUUAGAAACGAUUUUUUCCUCUUGAUUUUCUUCAAGGAUUUGUGGGAAUCCAUUCUUAAUCCUUCAAUUUGCCAAAAAUUAUUUCUUUGAUAGUUGAUUAGAGCCUUUAAUUGAAUUUGUUGGGGUUUAUAUUUGAGGUCCAGUUGGACAACUAUCUUCUAUUCAUAUCCAUCGGUUUAGCAGUCAAAUAAAACUCACAUUCCUUUCCUAGGAAUCUACCUAGUGCACAGUUCUCAUUCACUUCUUUAUUUUUACCCUUUUUGAUAUUUGCUUUUAAACAAUGAGGACAUUGUUUCUCUUUUGUGGGGGGACCAGAAAUAAAAUUUUUGGCUUAUGACGAAAAUUAAUUUUUUUCCAUCAAGUUAUGUUAUAGUAAAAUAUUAUUUUAUGUAUAAAAUUUUAUUAUUUCAAUUAUUUUUAUGCUAGCUUAGUUAUGAUAAAAAAUGUUGAACUGAGUAAUUGUGUAUAAACCAUACCAUGAAAAUUUUUAAUUCCUUAGAAAAACUAAGCAAUCAUGAAAGUUUAAGUCUUUAGAAUUGACUUAGUAAUUUCCUUAAGGCGAAAUACUAAGAGGCAUGGUAAUUUGAAAAUGAUUUAGGCAAUUUUUGUUUGGACCAUUUGAGCCUUUCAAGCCAACCCUAGUAAUAAUUAUCUAUUGAAACCCUACUUUAAGCUAUAUAGCCUGAUGUUUUUUUUCUGAACCUUAUAUUAAUAAGUCAUCCUUCCUUAAAAUUUAUCUCUAUCUGUCCCAAAUCUUAGACUCAGUCCAACUAGAAUGUUUUUGUGAUUAAAUUUGGGGAGUUAGAGAGAAGUGUUUGAUUUCUCAAAAUAUUGAGUUGUAUGCUUAAAAAAGCAUUAGUGAUUGCUUAAAAAAUCUAGUUAUUGAAAAAAAAAUAUGUACAGAGAACAUGUGUACUCAAACUCAAAAGAGUUGGUGUUCUUGGGGAUAAUUGUAUUUGGAAGGUUUGAGGUACACUGAGUCUAAGAUUUUAGUCUAAAAAUGAUCUAUCAUUUUCCUACCUUGACCCAAGUCAUAUUACAACCAUAUUAAAGACCUAUUGAUUAAACUUUAGGAUUACUACUGAGUUCAACCAAGGGAAAUAAAUUUUGUUUGGGAAGUACUAAGCACAUAUUUGUUAAGGGAUGGUAUUUAGUACAUAGUUUUGUUAGUAUAUUAAUCUUUGAAAAUAAUUGAGUGAUAUAGGCACUCAAGUUGCAUGUUUAGAAAUUUUUUAUUCUUCAGCAUAAUUUUGCUAAACACAUAACUAUAGGAAUGAUUGAUUUCGUUUGAAGGGAUUUUUGCAAAAGUGGCUCUUUGGUUUCUAAUGUAAGUUAGCAUAUAUCACCACUUGGGAUGAGCAAUGAAUUAAGUUUGGGGGUAUGAUAACUCAAAAUUAUAUAGACAUUUACAACACCUUCUGACUAUUAAUUCAUGCAAAUUCUGAGUAUUUUGAUAGCAAAUUUUGUAUUUUUUCAUUAAAAAUUUGUAAAGUAGAACAAAAUUAAAGAUAAAUUUGUAAUGUUAUUUAUUUCCAUGCUAAUUUUACAUAUUUUUUUUCCAGUUUGGCGCAGUUUGGUGCAAUAGAAGAAAAGUUAAUCUUGAAGCUCACCUAUUCGAUGCUUGAUGAUGUAACAUUCCUGCAGUAGAGGCCAUGCAAACGUGGGUUGAUGGCUAAACAACAUGAGACAUCCUAAAUUCUUUUAUUGGACCUUUAAAUUCAAUUUGAUCCAGCUCCCAAAUGGUUCACAAAAAUGGACAAGCUUGCUACCAAAUAUGAAGCCCAAAUCAUCCACUAAGGGAGGAAAAAGCCUAAUUCAACCAAGGGAAGUCCAACCGUCCAUAAAAGUAUUUAACUUUGCCUCCCAAGACUUGGUAAAAUAUCACAGAUCAGUCACAACAAAUUUCCCAUGAUCGUUCAACUCCCAUCCCUAUUUUAAGGUGCCUUCCCAUGAAUCAAGUAAGAAGUAGCUAAAUUUAGCAAAGUCAUUCACCUUCCUUCCUUAACACAAGGGGUCGACCAUUUGUGAGAGAAAUGAGGGGGAUUAUAAUUCUAAAAAUAGAAAACUCAAGAGUUGUAAGGAGUAUUUAGAAGUUCUUGUGAGUAGCAAAAAUUCAGCAUUUAUAAGGCAUUUGUGUGAAGGAACAAAGCAAAAAGAAUGAGGAAAAGCAAAUAAAAGUUGUGCAGCGGAGAAACAUCGCAUUUGUCUCCUAGUUCCUUUUUCUUAAUUCUUUUGAUUUUGUUCUAAACUUAUGAACAUGAUUGCUAAAUAUAUUUCUGCUUUUUAUUUCAUUAAAAUGGCUUAAUUUUGUUUAUGUUAGAUUGAUUGCAUUUUUUUAGCUUAGAUUAUUAGAAUUUUAUUAAUGAUGUUAUGUGCCUUGGUUGCUUAUUCAUUCAAAUAAAAUCAUGAACAUGUUAUUCGUGCAUUAUAAAUAUUGGGAUGCAAUUGAAUUAAUUAUUAAAUCAGAACCAAAUUGUAAUUAAUUGACACAGUAUCUGAAUGGUGCAUGUUUGACCAUUUUAUGAUGAAAUUAGGUCAAAUUAGUAAUAAUAUCAAAAGAACUUUAUUACCUUGCAUAACCCUAAGAUUAAUGUGAUUAAACUAUUUCGGUAUAGAAAUAUUACCAUUACUUCACAUAAUAUGAUUUCUACUUAUUAAAAUACUAAGUUGAUUGAACAUAGACAUAUGCUAGAAAAACUUAAUUAUUUAAUAAGUGUAAUUUCUUAGACGAUACCUAGAAAGGUAAUCUUGAAGUUAGACUUGACAUAGAAAUAUGCAUGGAGACUAAAAGGUCAAGCUUAAGUCUUCGAGAGAAGCCAAGCAUUCGUAAAUAAUAACAAGCUUAAGUCUUUGAGUUUAUUUAGGAUCAUUCAUCUCAUGAAAUUGUGUGAUAAUGUGUGGUAUUGAUUUGGUAUAUAAAAUAUUUGUAUAGAUCAAGAAUUAGACCAAAGUGGAGUAAAUAAAGGAAAAGCAUAAUGUAACACCCCUAACCCGUAUCCGUCACCGGAUUAGGGUUACGAGGUAUUACCAGUCAUAUUACAGUUCAUACAGAUAAUCAUUACAUUUCACAACUCGAAAUUCAAUCACAUCAAUGCUCGUAACUUAAUCAAAUAUCGAGUCUUGAAAUCAGAACAAUCAUAACAUUGCAUAAUUAAAACAUAUUCAUAUCAUCUAUAUAACCACAUAUUCGAAUUAUCUAAUGUGCAACAAAGCCAAGUUACAUGUACUUAAUACAUAUAAAUGUUCGAACCACAUGACUCUAAUAUUAAUGGCAUUUGUAUACUUAAAACAUAUCCUAGCAUAUAUCAUUACAUUUCAUACAUCGAAUAUAUGUCACUAUAUCUAUUUCAUUAGUUGAAUAUCAAACAUAUCAUUUCAUAACUUCUGCACAAGCACAUAAUAAAACCAUUCGAACCAUAUUACAUUAAUUAUUAUGCAAUCACAUAUGCGACUUUAGUAAUAUUACAAUAGGGCCAAACAUACUUUUGAUGCAUAUAUAUAUAGUGCGCAUUUCACCCUAAAAACAAAAGCCACAUUUAACAUUUGAACAAAAAUAACAUUCCAAUGUACACCUAAUUCGCAUAUAUAUAUAUAUAUAUUAGUAACCCUAACUUCAUAUUUCAUCCUAUUAACUAAUCAUUGAUUCAGUCACACCAUUAUCAAGAUCAUAUGCUUAUCAAAAUGAACCAAAUAUCGUUACCGAAUUUACAACCACACAUGUACGCGUACCUAUAUUAAUAUUAACAUCAACUUGACACUUUUAACUAUCCAUUAAAAGCUAACCAAAACAUACCUAAAUCAUAACCAUCAUUUACCAUUUGGAUCCGUACCAAAACAAUCAACCAAAAAAAUCAUGAAACAUAUUCAUUACUUGUCAUUUAGCAACCAAACCUAUAUAGCCAAUAUACAUUCAAAUACAUAUUCAUCAUAUUACCUCAUUACUAAGCCAAAUUAAACAAUCAUCCACCACCCAAAUUAUUCCACAUUCCAUACUUCCAAAAUAAGCUAAUUAUUAAGCUGAUUAUACAUCAUACUUACCAUUUCUCAUUGCCAAAUCAUAUAACCAACAUCACAAACUUAUAUACCAAGAAACAUACUUCCAAAAUAAGUUUAAGUCAUAGCCACAUACACACAAGCUUUAACAUUAUAAUCAAGCCAUGUUCACAUAGCUAUCUAUAUACAAAUUUCAAAGCCAAACAUAUAAAAACCAGCCUAUACAUGCCAUAUGUUUAUAGUUUCAAACUUCAAAAGUACCGAGUAAUAUUCGAUAGUGUGACGAUGAUCCUAGACGAUCCCCAAGCUCGUAGCUAGCUUUCAAAAUCUAUAAAACAACAGACAAACACACAAAGUAAGCUUGGAAAGCUUAGUAAGUCAUAAGCAAAUAAAUUAUCAAAUGAACAUUAGCAUGAUUAUUUCAACAUGGUCGAAUAUGAACAAUCUCAUGUACAUAAUGGUCAGACCUUUGACAUGUAUAAUUCAUAUCAUCAUCUCAAGUACUAUACUUACCUUAUUUUCAUGGACAUUUAACUUCGAACGUACCUGAACCAUUUAGUUCAAUUUCACAUUCGAUCUUAACUCAACAUUGCCCGUUAAACCAUUCGAAAUCAAUAAGGAUACUCGAAUAGCUCGAAAAGCUCGUACACUACCAAUGUCCCAGACGAGGUCUUACAUGUAAUCAAAUGUCGAUGCCACUGUUGCAGACAGGGUCUUACACAAAAUCAUAUAUGAUGCCAAUGUCCCAGACAUGGUCUUACACUUAAAUCUCAAAUUGAUGCCAACGUCCCAAACAUGGUCUUACAAGAAAUCACAUAUCGGAAUCCUAUGUCAUGACAUAUGUAUCCUAACUAUUCCUAUGGUUCGUACUGGGCUUUCGGACGUCAUAAUUCGAUCGAUUCAAACUCGUAACUAGUUCUCCAAUGCUUAAUUCAAUUUGGCAUAUACACAUAAAUUUAUUAUAAUUCAAUUUUGGCACAUAUAAUACAUAUACAUUCGAAUUUAACAACAUUUAUUUACUUAUGAACUUACCUCGUACGGAGACGAAUGGACCAGAACGACUAUUCGACAACUUUUGAUUUUCCCCGAUCCAAUUUCGUUUUCCUCUUUUCUUGAUCUAAAUUAAUACAAAUUUAACUCUUUUAUUCACCAUUCAAUUUAAUCCACAUAAUCAUAUUUAAGGCAUUUUACAAAGUAUCCUUUAUAUUUUCACAUUUUGACAUUUAAGUCCCUAAUUCACAAAAUUACAAAAUACACAUAAUUUCAUUUUACACAUGCUAGGUCGAAUGUUUAUACACUUCAUAUAUGCCCAUAUAUUUCCUUUAUUUCACAUUUUAACCCCUCUAUUUCUCAUUUUCACAUUUUAGCCCAAAAUACUCAAAUUCAUCAAAAAUCCAAACACAAAACAUAUUAAUCUCAUACCAAGCUUUCAUAAUUCAUCAAUUAACAUCAUUAAACUCACAAAAUCAUCAAUGGCACAACUCAAAAUCAUUAUCAAAUUCUGAAAUUGAGGCAUGGGCUUAAGAAAACACAUUGCAACGAUCACAAAAAUGUUUUAAUUGUCAAAAACCGAAACAAAAACAUACCUUGAUUAAGCUUGGAUAAGGCCGAAUAGAAGAAAGAUUUAAAACCCUUAUUUUCUUUCUAAUUUUGGUGGAAGAACACUUGAAAAUGAUCAACAUUUUGGCCUUAUUCACUUUAUUUAUUUUGAUUUAAAGAAUUACUAAUUUAACCUUAAUGAAAUAUUAAUAUAAAACACUUGAAUCAUGGACAUAAAUGUCCACUAGCCUUAUAAUGGCAUAUUAACCUUUUAAGGACUUCCCAUAAAUCAAAUCAUAACAAAUUAACAUAUUUACAAUGAGAAUGUCACUUCUACUUUUUAUGGGUUUAGCCCUUUUUUGCAAAUUAAGCAUACAAACGGAUAUAUUAAAUCACGAAAAUUUUACACAUGUCAAUUCACAUACAAUAAGCAUAGAAAAUAAUAUUAAAAUAUUUUUUGACUCGGAUUUGUGGUCUCAAAACCACUAUUUCGAUUUGGCUAAAACCGAGUUGCUACACAUAAAUUGUGGAUUAGUCCCUGACAAAUCCACCUGUAUUGUGUUUUGAAAAGGUAAGUUCAUAUCGAACUUACUACUCUUCUUUAGGUUAUAUGUAUGCUUGUGUUUAUUCCAUUAUAACUAUGUUCGAACAUAACUUUAAAUGUUGAUUAAGUUGGCAUACAUGGCUAGAAAAUGAAAUGGAAUUGAAUUGAAUAAAAAUGAAUUAAGAUUGAUGAUUGAUAUGACAUGGUACAUGGUAUGAUAUGUAAAUAUGGAAAAUUAUAGGGUAUGAACAUGUGAGCAUGAAUGAUUACAGGGUAUGAUAAUGCAAAUAUGUAUAAUUGAUGCCCAUGUGAACUUAGUAAAAGGUUAGGAUAUGAUUGGCAUGUCAAUAAGGUCAUUUGCACGCUUGUACGGGAUAUGUGAUGAUACGGAGAUUAUGACAGGAUAUAUCGAGACUUGCAUUUGUUAUGGAUCAUCGAGCAUUAUUUGUCCCUACAGAGACUUUGAUGUGGUAGAGGGAAUUAAUUGAAAAUGUUUAUACAUUUGAUUCCUACGGGCUUUGGAUUUUGGUGCCUUGGUGUGGUAUAGUUAAGCUCUUACAAGCUAUCUGACGUGGUGUAGUUCACUCGUGUAUCCGAGUCUAUUUUUCUAGGGUUCCAUUGGGAAAAAUGUUGAAAAUGGAUCUUGAAAUAUAAAAAAAUGAACCAAUUUAAUGUGUUAUUAUGAUUCGUGAUUCAAAUUGAAAUGGCUUGAUCUUGUAAAUUGAUAAUGUAAUAUGAAAUGGUAAUGAUCUUAAUGAAAGUAGAGAAAUUGGUGAUAAACCUAUGUGAAAUGGUGAAAAUUGGUAAUGUUUGUGUUACUUUUAUCAUGUUUAAUGCAUAUUAAUACUCAUGAUUUUUGUGUAUACCUUGUUGUGACCUAGAGUGUCAUCUGCUAGCUAAAUGUAUGUAAUGGCCCAAAUUCAAGGUUAUCGGAAUAGUAGUAUUGUAACCACAAAUUUGAUUUAAAGAGAAAUUUAUUUUAAUAUUUUUGUAUGAAUAUUGAUAUGAUAGGAAAAUCGUAUGAAAAUAUAGAUAGAAGAAUUUUACCAAUUUAGUGGUUAGUUAGAAAAAGAAAUUACUGAAGAAAUUGGGUAAAAACAAGGUAUCGAGACCUCGAUCUCGUAAAAUCGAGUCAAAAAUAUUUUUAUAAAUAUUUAUGAAGUGUUAGUAAUAUGGUAUUAAAAUUUCGUUAGAAAAUUUUAAUGUUUGGGUAGUCAAUUAAGUGAAAAGGGCUAAAUUGAAAAAGGUGUAAAAGUUACUAGAAGGAUUAAAUAGCUCAAUUGUUAAAUGAGGAGGGACAUAAAUUGCAAAUAAGCCCAAAAGAAGAUAUUUUGGGCGGCAUACGCUGAGAAAAAUCAGGAAUAUUGAAGAAUUAAGGGUAAAAUUGGAAUAUUGCAAAAUUUACUUUAAAAGUUAGGACUAAAGUGGAAUAUCUAGAAUUCUCUUUAUUUUUCUGCAUUCUCAUCAGCCAAAAAACGUCCUAAGGGUUUCUUUAAGCUAUUUUUUCAUAAUUUUUGCACCAAGUGAGUUAAUCAUUGCCUUUUUCUUGUAAUUUUUGUGUUUCUAAGACUUUUACAACUAGGUCCUAUUACUAAAUUUAUUAGUUUUUGAUUUUAUGAAUGAAUUUGAAAGUUGCUAUGAAUAUGUGCUGGAAUUUCAUGAUGAAAUAGGAUGAAAUUGAAGCUUUAAUUUGUUUAUAAGAUGAUUUUAUUAGGUAAUUUCAAUAGAAAUUGAUUUGUAGGACUUAAUUGUAAAAAAGUUUCGAAUUAAAGUCUAGUGCUAAAAUUCUGAUUUCCAAAGGUUAUAAAGUAGUUUAAAGUGAUAGAAUAAAGUGUUGGUUGAGAAAAAUCAGCUCAAUUGAGAGGUUAAUUGAGCAGGGAUGGAAUUAUCAUUUAUUGAAAGCUUAGGGAAAGAAUGGUAAUUAACAUUAUGCACUAAAACAGUUUUGGACAGCAGCAGUAGUCUAACUUUAAAAAAUCACCAAAAAUUGUAUAGAUCGAAUUAAAGGAUGAAUAAAAUAUGAAAGUAAAUCUUAUUUAGUCUAGUUUCUUAUAAAAGAAACGGUGUAAGCAAUGGAAUUGUAAAUCAUGAGAUAUAAUAGAUUUUGUGAGACAAGGUCAGAAUGAAUUCGGGUUCCCCUGUUCUGACUUUGGAAAAUCAUUAAAAAUUGUAAAAAAAAUGAUUAUGAGUUAUAAUUUAUAUGGUUAUAAUCCUUAAUGAGUAUAUUUUUAGAAGAAACAAAUGGAAACAUCAUCCGAAUUCUGUACAAUGAGAUAAUUAAUUUUUAGUGAAGAGAGGUCGAAACUGUUGAACAGUGAAACAGGAGAAAUUUUAAAGAAUAAAAUGUACUUAUUGGCUAAACCAAAAAUUCUGAAAAUUUUAUGGUAAGAAUAUUUGUGAGUCUAGUUUCGGGAAAAAUUAUCGGAUCUUAAUUUGGAGUUCUGUAGCUCAAGAUAUAAAUAAUUUAGUGACUGUGACUCAGUGAGACAGCUUUGAAUGCACUAUAAAUAAUAAUGGAAUUAUAGAGAAUGUUACAUAUGAACAUGAAAAGUAUUAGAUUAAUGAUUAAAUUUAUUUAUUUAGAUCCGAAAAAUUCAAAUAGGAAGCAAGAUCGAGGAAAAGAAAAAGUUUGGGAUUAGUAGAUUUUUGGUUACGAACAAGUGACGAGGUAAGUUCGUGUAACUUGAAUUAUAUUCUUAAAUGCUUGAAAUAUAUUUUUCUUGAUGUGAAUAUGAUUUAGAUGUUUAUUGUAUGAUAAUUGAUGAAGUAUUGAUAUUCUUGAUGAAAAGGGAAAAUAAAUCUCAGUUGAAUGAAAGGAAAAUUCGAUGGAUCUCUGAAAAGGAAUUGAUGGUAAAAAGGAUCUAGCCCGGACGGGUGAUCCUAUCCUGAUAUAGCCCUCCCGAAGAAUAUGUGGAAAAUGGAUUUAGCCCGGACGGGUAAUCCGAAUUAGGGUCUGAAUUUAGCCUGGACUGGUAAUUCAGAUCCAAACUCAUUAGAGUAAUUGUCGCUGCAGGGGAUUUAGCCUGGACUGGUAAUCCCGACAAUACUCUAUGAGUUUAUAUUACAGGGGAUUUAGCCUGGACUGGUAAUCCCGCUGUAAGGAUGAGGUUCGCGGGAGUGUGCUAUCUGAAAUAGAAAUGUGAGUACAUGAAUAUGAAUUAACGGACCCGGAUUUGUACACUAAAGUGUACCUCUGAAAAUCCAUCGAAAUUUCGAGAAAUUCAACGGGAUAAAUAUGGAAAAUAAAAAGGGAAUGGAAAAUAUGGGAAUUGAUAAGCUCAUCAAUCAUUUGUCUUUGUAAUGAAUUUAUAUGAUGUUUACUUAACUAAUGCAAAAGUUGAGUUUGUAUGUGAUAGGUAUAUGUUUAUGUGAAUUGGAUGUGUGCUUGUGCUAUUAAAUGAUAGGUGUAUAAUAUGGUAAGUAUAAUUCUUGUUGCAUGAACUUACUAAGCACAAUGUGCUUACCCCGUUCUCUUUUUUCCCUAUUUUGUAGUGCCCGGGAGCUCGAAGGUUGGAGAUUAGUCGGAGCUUUAUCACACUAUCAACCCAUAUCUUUUGGUAUUUGAAAAUGACUUAUUUUGAAAGAAUGGCAUGUAUAGACUAAAUACCAAUAUUACAUAGAAAUGAAUGUUUGUAACUUAGCUGUUGGUAUGGCUAGAGUAAGUAUAACUUUGAAAUUUUGCGAAAAAUUUCUUAUGGCUUCGAUUUAAUAUCAGUUUAGUCCCGAUGUAUGUUUUGGGCUUCGGAGGCCCAUCCAAGGGACGUCAUGACAUGAUUCGAUAAAUGAAUAGUAAUUAAACUCGUAAUAACAGAAAAAUUAAUUCAGUAAAAUCUGGUAAUGCCUCGUAUCCUAUUCCGGCGACGGAAACGGGUAGGGGGUAUUACAAUGUAUGCCUAACUUUUGGUUAUAUCAUGCUCACCUAUGAGCAAGGUAAGUGUUUUAAUUCCAUUUGAACUUAUUAAGCAUUUAAAUGCUCACUCUAGUUGUUUCUCCUACUUGUAGAUCAUCACAACUUGCAAAACUCUCAAAGCCGAAUCUUUACGAAUGUCACACUAUCAUUGAAAUGAUAGAAAUAUGUUUAUUUUGGUUCCUAAAGUUGAGUUAUGUAUAUAGGAUCAUUGUGUUUUGUAAUGGUCAUCCUUAAUUAUGAUUGCUUAUGUUAUGUUAUGUUAAUGGCCAAGACUAUGUUGUUUGCUAAGUUUAUAUAUGGUCUAAUAUAAGUCUAAUGUGAUCAUAUCAAUGCCUUUUGAAUCCUCAAUUUUUAAAGCUUACAUGGACCUUAUAUGUUUGAACUUCGAAAUAUGGCAAUUUGAUAGAUUAAGAUUGGUGAAUGGCUUGAAUGAGUUAGGUUUUGAUCAUGUGUUUGGUGCCAAUUGAUAGGGAUUCUAAAUGUGUUAUAAACUCAGCUUGGUAUGGUUUGGGAUAAUUUGAUGCAUAGAUGAAAUUGGUAUAGGCAUGUGUUUGUAAGAAAAAAAAAUGUGUUUGAUUGAAAGUAUUAAAUGUGUGCCAAAGUGAUUCUUGCCAAAACAGUGGUGACGUUGCGACUACAAGUCCCCAACGUCGUGACAUGGAUCGACAGCGAGUGACGUUGCAACGUUGAGAUGUUUGAAGUCAUAACAUAACUCAUUGAUUAAUGAUGUCGCAAUGUCAACUUGCAAAUUUUGAAAACUUUACAAUUUAGUCAUUAAUCGACCUUGAAUUAGUGAAAGGUCACAAUGUCAACUUGCAAAUUUUGAAAACUUUACAAUUUAGUCAUUAAUCGACCUUGAAUUAUUAAAAGACCUUUCAUAAGCUCGUAUAAGAACAUAAAAUGUUUUUGUAUCAUAUUGAAAAUGUGUUUUAUACUAAUGAGCAUGCUAAAAUGAUUGAAUUGUAUUGAAGCUUGUUGUAGUUGCUUUGGUUACAAAUGUAGCAUCCCGUAACUCGGACUCGACGAUAGGGUCAGGAAAGGGGUGUUACAAGGAGUCUACUGAUGGAGGAAAAACUUCUACUUUUUACCAACCUCCUCAUAGCACCGUUCACCUGCUGAAGGCGAAUAUGAAAAGGGUUGAUUUUCUGAGCACUAUUACUUUAGUUUGAUCAAGACUUUAGCCCUCUUUUGUAACCAAAAAAAAUGAAAAAGAAAAAAAAUCAUUGGAGAUGGUUGGUUUUAAGACCCUUAAUAAGGCAAUUAAAUAAUUAGGUUUGUUUGGAUAAUUAAAUGAAAAGAAAAAUAAAUGUGAAAUUAAAAAAAGAUAUCAAGAGGAAAUGUCUUCUUUAUCGUCAUGAAAAAAAAAACAAAGAAAUAUCAAGAGGAGACAUGGGUUUGAAUCUUGGAAAUGAUAUUGUUGAGAGGGAUAAUCAUGAACUUGGAUCAUAAAACAAAUAUGAACAUACUUAAAAAAAAAUCCAUUUUUUUAGAACUAUUUUAAUUUGAAAAGGGUAUUUUUUUUAAAAAAAUAAUUUUUCAAUAAUAAUUUUUUUGUAACUUUGAACAACUUUUGCAACAUUUUACAUUUUUAUAUUAUUAUCAAUCGUAUUUAAAAUGAAAUUGGACAAAUGAUUGUCCUCAAAUUAAUGAACCACCACUUGUGUAAGUUCAUUCUUUAUUUUAUUAAUUUUUGAAGAUUUCUUUAAAAAAUUAAAUUUUAUAAUUUUUUUUGUUUGGUCAACAACCACAUUAUCAAUCAAUGCUUAACACAUGGCAUGUUCUCAUUAGCUGAGUGGACCACCUUUCACACCAUUAACUUUUGGGGCCAAAUACUAUAAUAAAGCAAUAGUUUAAGUAAUGAGAUAGAAUAAAAGUUCAAAUACUUAAGUGAGAAAAAGUGUAUAGUAAACUUGAAUAAAGCAUAAAUAUUAUGAAAUUUAAAAUUGAUUCGUCUAAAUGAAUAGGACUUUUUUUUUUUAAGUUAGGAUUAAUCUUACGUGUAAAUUUAGAUUAAGUUAAAAUAUGUUAUAGGUUCUUGUACUCUUUACAAAUUUGGAAGAAAUUUAGGUUUUUUAAAUUUUAAAUUUCAAAAUCCAAAUUCAAUUUGUUAAAUUUAUCAAUGCGACAUUUUGAAAUAAUAAUAAAAACUCACUUAAUAGUAAUAUAAUUAAUAUUUAAUAUUUAAUAUUUAAUAUUUAAUAAACUUGAAUUUAAUAAAAUAAUUUUAAUAGUAUUAAUAGGUAGAUCUAAAUUUUGAAAAUAAAUAAAUAAAUAAAAUUUUAAAAAUAAAAAUAAAAAAAUUACAAAAAGAUACAGACCUUAGGUUGGUGUAACCCCAGGAACUGGUUUGGGAUGCAAGUAAGGUUGUCUCUAGAACUUCCCACAAAGAAACAGCUCGUUUCAAUGGGACAGCCACCGCCAGGAACCUGCAUUUAUUAAACCCCAUUAUUAUGGGAAACGAGACACUAAUUUCUUUAUGGACCAAUGAAUGCAGUUGUUGUUUUCAGAAUUUAUUAAGCAAGUCCCUCCACACACACACACACACAAAAAUCUCCAUUUUCCUUUUCAAAGAGGAAAAAGUAGAGAUAUAGCAGUGGUGCGUGUCACAAAUGACUCGUGAUUCUCAAUCCAAUAGCGAAAUGGUCUUCAAUGCUGUGUUGUUUAUAUUAGAGAAAGACUACAAGCAACUUAAUUAGUCUCAAACUCCAACCUAACUAACUAAAUUUCUAUUUGUUUAUACCAAAGGUGUUAGCAAUCAUGCAUUUGGCUCCUAGUUUCUCAUUACAUUUAAUUCACACCCGACAAAAAAUUCUUAAUUUCAAUCUCCACAAAACAAAAGAGAUAAAUUCCCAAGAACGUGUAUGCAUGGAGUUUUGUGUGUUUUAUGCUGUGAAAAAUAAAUGCUGUCACCUAACUGAAACCCACCAAAUUUAAAGAGCAAAGGGAGUCCCAAGUCGAAAAUCGAAUAUUUUAAUGCAUGCCCAUUAAAGCUCCAAACAAUCACCUUUUAGUUCCACAACACGUAACCAAAAGUAUCUAUACUUAUUCGGGUUUUAUUUAUUUACUUUAAAAAGAAAAACAUUAAACUUCAUUAGCAAUUCCUAAACUGAGGGUAAGCUCUUAAAAUAUCUUAUAGUUUAAGCUCACUUUAAUUUCCAUCUCCUAAUAAGUACAUUAUCAAUCUACCAACUCCAAAUUAAAACCAUUUAUCUACACUUUAAGAAAUAUUGCUUCUCUCCCAUCAUUAUCAUUGAUAUACUAAAUAUAUCAAGGAAUAUGCCAAGUCUCGUUGAUCCAAGCCAAUCACGCACCAUACCCAAAACUUUGUUUUCAUGUCCAAUGGCUUCAAGACAAAUGCCCUCUCACCAACUCUCAGCAAUUAAAACUCUCAACAAACUUCAUCUGCCUCAGCCUAUUAAAGGGUUGUAAAUGUUAGUAUUCAAACUACUGGAUACCACAUUGUAGGAGUGGUCUUCCCAUCAUUAAAAUCAUUCACACCAGCUUUACCAAUCACCUAUUUGCUAUUUAUGAUACAAACCAGGAAAGUUGGAAUGAAACUGAAAUAUGGCAUGUAAGCUUGUUAUACUGUUCUUCUUUGUUAAUCUCCUAAUGCAAAUACCAAAAGUAAGGGCAACAGUUCCUGCAAUUAUCGUUUUCGGAGAUUCUACGGUGGAUCCAGGGAACAACAACCAAGUAUCUACAGUUCUAAAGAGCAACUUCGAGCCAUAUGGCAGGGAUUACUAUGGUGGUCAGCCAACAGGACGUUUUUCUAAUGGAAGGAUUGCAACAGACUUCAUUUCUGAAGCCCUCAGGAUCAAGCCAGCCAUACCUGCAUAUCUGGACCCGAAGUAUGACAUAGAAGAUUUCGCUACCGGAGUUUCCUUUGCUUCAGCCGGGACUGGUUAUGACAAUGCUACUUCUGAUGUGCUAGUAAGUCGAGCUACAGAUUGGUGAUAAGUUAACCGUCUUACCAUGUGAAACAGAAGUCAUGCAGUGAGUUGUAAAUUUUUGUUUGCAUCAGGUUUUCCAUGAAUGUUGUUAAAUUCCAUUUUGAUUCUUGCCUGCAACAAAUGACAAAAGAUUUCAGUUUCAACAUGUUCUUUUAAUCUAGUUCAGUACAUUUAAUCAACUAUAGACAACAGGUCAUCAAUUACAACUUACAAAAGCCAUUUUCUUGAAUUUGCAGUCUGUCAUACCAUUUUGGAAGGAACUGGAGUACUACAAAGAAUAUCAGAACAAGCUAAGAAAACAUCUAGGCAAAGAUGAAGCUAAUCAACGUUUUUCUGAAUCAUUGCACCUAAUAAGCAUAGGAACCAAUGACUUUUUAGAGAACUACUACAUUUUUCCUACCAGAUCUUCGGAGUAUUCAGUUGACGAGUAUCAGAGCUUUCUGAUAGGAAUUGCCAGCAAUUUCAUCAGAGAGCUUUACAAGCUCGGAGCUCGGAAGGUAGUCAUUGGCGGCCUUCCUCCAAUGGGAUGCUUACCAUUGGAAAGAACAACAAAUAUGUUCUUUGGAAGUGACUGUAUCGAUGAGUAUAAUGAUGUGGCUAAAGAUUUCAACAAGAAGUUACGGGGUGCAGUCACAGAGUUGAAACAGGAGCUUGGUGGAAUCCAUCUGGUUAUGUCAAGCCCCUACGAUAAGCUCAUGGAAAUGAUUCGGAAUCCAAGUCACUUUGGUAAGUCAUUAUCGAUAGUUUACAAAAGUUAAACUACUGUUACUAAGGUCAUAUAUAAAGAAAAAGAAUACCUAGAAUAAGAGCACAUCCACUACUUGAAUCCAAUCACCUAACUUGUCCAAACGGUUAACUACUGUUUUAUGCCAUCCACAUGGGUCAGAUAUUAUGUACAAAACUAGUCUAGUAAAAUUAACCAUGUUGAACCCCGUAAAUAGCGCAGUUACUUCAUUCAGCUUCCCUUAAACGGUAGCAUAUAUCAAAUCUUGUUUGGAAUCCUAGCAUCUACAAGCCUUUCCUUAUCCCUGAUUAUGGCUUCCUUCGUACCCAAGAUAUUCAGUAAUAUAAAUGAUUUUGCAUGCGUUUUAUUAGAGACAUUGCUUACCUCUACGGCCAUGAGAUGAUCCUUUGACUUCAAGCAUGAAUGGACUAAGACAUAGAAGGCCGAUAUACAAAAACACAAUCAUGGAUACAAGUAUAUGAAACCAGACAGAAACUAGGUACUUUCAUGCCCCCCAUGUUGUCACUUGCCUUGAGCAAGCCUCAAGAACUCAUUCACUAGUUUCAUCCAAUGAACUUUUUUGUUUAAAACAUGCAUAAAACCAUGCAAUAUCAUACCACCUAAUAAUGAAGAGCCAUAACACCAUAAAAACAAACCUUUUCAGGCAAAGCAAAGCAAUCUCUGUGUGUGUGUGUGUGUGUGUUUGGAUGUGUUCUUGAACCUAUGUGCGCACAGUAUGAAUGCAGAUGUAAUUAGGCAAGUGUUUUAACAUACUUCUCCUCUUAUGGUAAAUUUCUUAUAAAUUUUCUACAUUACAGGAUUUGAAGAUGCAGAAACAGCAUGCUGUGGGACUGGAUUCUUCGAGAUGAGUUACCUGUGUGAUAACAUGAACCCAUUUACAUGUUCAGAUGCCAAUAAGUAUGUAUUCUGGGACGCCUUCCACCCGACAGAGAAAACAAAUGCCAUUUUGGCUGAUUAUGUGGUCAAAACUACCCUAGCCGAGUUCCAAUAAUUACUAAAAGUAAAAGAAAGCAGCACUGCUUCAUUGUUGUAGAUGCCAAUAAGUAUGUAUUCUGGGAUGCCUUCCACCCGACAGAGAAAACAAAUGCCAUUUUGGCUGAUUAUGUGGUCAAAACUACCCUAGCCGAGUUCCAAUAAUUACUAAAAGUAAAAGAAAGCAGCACUGCUUCAUUGUUGUAGAACUAGUAUUAGUAGGCAUUAUAUUUACUAUUGCCUUUUCAACUACAUCCAAUGAAGGAAAAUAUAGAAAACAAUAAGUCAACUGGAUGAAUGCAUGUUAGAUGAGAAAACAUAAGAACAAGUUCAAACUUCAAAUCAAGCAAGUUAUCCCCCCCCCCAAGAGAAAACAGCUAUUUCUGUUGUGAUCUAAGAGGUUCUGCAAUUUUUUUUAUUUUGGAAGAGUGGUUUUGCAAAAUAAUUGCAAGAAAGAACCAUUCAAUAUUUCAAAAUCUAAUAGACGAUAUUGCUGUAAGAAGAGAAAACAGUUAGAUUCAGAAAAGCUUCCUAAGAGAUCCCACCAUAGAAAUGGACAUUGUCUACUCGAAUAAGAUUAACAAAUAAAAUUGUUCUUCAUUAUAAACUAAGAUCCUUCAAAGAAAAGGUUUCGUUGAGAGGGAAAGCCUAAAUUUUAAUAAGAAAUUUGCUCCAAACUAUCAAAUAUCAGCAUAUACAAAUAAUAAUAAUAAUAAUAAUAAACUGAUUUAAAAGAACAUGAAGCAGCUAGAGAUCUUCAAUGACAAGAUAUGGGAGACACUCGGUGCAGCACAACUUGAAUCCUUCGGCUUAUUUUGGCACUUUAGGAAAAUGCAGUUUGAUAAGUGCAGGAAGUUCAGCCAGCUCAACUUGAGGCUUGCCCAAUAAAAUACUCCUCAAUUUCUCAUCACAAUUGACAAGAUUCUUGUUGUUUGGAUCCUAAUCAAGAAAAAGUGACAUGCUGAGAGAUCUUUGGGUAAAUUUGUGUAUAUACCAGGGCAUCAAGACUAAAAGUUCAAAAUCAAUCUAUGAGUAUAAGGUUCAAAGAGUAGAGAAUGAUUCCAAAAAAUGAGAAUUACAAACUUUAUGAGCCCAGUGCUGAAUUGCCAGCCAUGAUAAACAAUUAAACAUACAUAAGAAAGCCUUCAUAACAAAUAAAAUCAUUUAAGAACCACUAGACUCUAGAGCAAGUGGUGGUGACAACAGCGGUGCCCAUGAAUUCCAUCUUAUAGCAUCAAACUGUCUAUGAUAAAAUGAAUGAUCCAAAACAUGAUUAACAUUUCCUGGGACAUACAAUGCAAACCUGUAGAGAGAUGAUAUCAUUAUCAUCAUGAACACACAUCUUCACAAAUUGUAGUAAAACAUUAUCAUUCAUGGAAACAAUGAUAUAAAGAUGCCAAAUGUUUGAUAAUAAACACCUGAUACAGAUAAAAUACUCAUUUGAAAACUCAUAUUAACCCCCGGGGGGGGAGGCUAUUUGUCCCUACUUAAACAUCACAACAACUUACCAAUCCAACUCUGACAUGCUAAUAACGAAUUGGAAGACCCAACUAUCAAUGAACCAUGAGAUUUAUUCAAUAAUCUACAGGCAACGCCAGGGAGUGCAAAACAAUAGGAAAAAGAUAUGGGUGAAUAAAGCCUCUCCAAGAUUCGUUUACAAACAUUUGAUUGAACAGAGGAUAGACCUAAGAGUACCUGAAGAUUGUUCUCUUUGAUAUAAGACCAAACACGAAAGAAGCAACCCAAACGUGAAAUCUGAGACUGACCCACAAAUUCUCUAACUGGGGAAGGAAGAUUUGCAAGGUCAAUCAAGUUAGCAAGCUUCUUGGGGUUAUCAGUGAUUGUCUUCUUCAGUCUCUGUGGCAGCAUUUUUUCUACCUCCUUCUCUUCUUCCUCGCUAUAUAUCCAAAAAACCAUACAUCAAACACUUAACAAAAUAAUAAUAAUAAUAAUAAUAAUAACAAAUUUUCAACACCCAAUGAAUUUUAAGAAAAAAAUUUAUGUUCUUUGCUGCUAAAAAAAGCAGUACAAGCUUAAGCUUCUGGGGAAUUUUAUCAAACAGUUGGCGCCAUUUGGUUAUCGAAUUCGUAACCUUCUACAUUCGUUGUCAAUUGCUAAAAUUAAUAGUUUUGUUAGAAGAUAGUUCAGCUGGUUUACCUGAAGAGGAACGGGAUGGCGGCAAAGUUCAGGGGUUAAAAUGGUAAAGAGAAGCAGUUCUGAAUACCAAACUUCAAGGUUUUGCAGGCGAGAGAGAGAGAGGGAAACGAAAGCGUGAGUAAAGGGCACUUAGUAAGAACUGAUGGUUGCUUUGCUUGAGUUCUUCAAAACGGCAAGGGUAGUAAUAAUGAAACCACAAAUUUUAUAUGUGUUUUAUUUUUUAUUUUUGGUAAUUUUUAUUAUUUUUAAUAGUUUUUGGUAAUUUUCUACAAAUUUAUAUAUUCCUUUUAUAUUUUUGCAAUUUUUUCAUAAAUUUCUUAUCUUUUAUAUUUUUUUAAUUUCAAGGCUAAUAUAAUAAAACAGCUAGUUUUGUAAUUAAAUAAGUCACUAACUUGAUUUUAAUUUAUAACUAAAAAUAUUUAAAACUUUUUAACUAAUUUGUCUUUUAUGUUGUGAAUUUGAUAAGAAUACAUAACACCAUCACUCUUUUUAAAAUUGUAUGUUGACGUUAAAGUAUAAAAUUUCUACUGCCUCGUUAAGAAAUUAAAAGACUGAAAUUUCAAAAAAAAAAAACUUUAAUAUUAAAAUCAAUGAUUUUUAUAGACAGAAACCAUAACCACAAAAGGGUGAAUUGUCAGAAAAUUUCACUUUUUCUUUAAUAUUUAUCAUAUUAGACCUUUUUUAAUAUUCGUGGAAUUAGGCCGAUUUUUUAAAACACGCUAAGUUAGACGAGUUUUGAUCAUACUUUGCAAGAAAACACGUUGAGUUGGACAUAUUUUCAGUGAAUGUUGCAGGAAAACGCUACCAGUUAGACGCGCUUUCUUGCUUUGUCAGUAAAACACUUCUAACUGGAUGCAUUUUUCCCAAUGGCUAUCCCGAGUGAAUUCCAACAACUACUUUCCACCCCCAACAGUAAAAAAAAAAAAACCUAUUUAAAACCCCUCAAUUCCAUUUUUUUUCAAUUCACUCUCAAUUUCUUUCAAUUCUCUCAAAUUUUAUAAAAAUUGUCUUAAGAAUUUUUUAUUUAAUUUUGUAUUAUGAAAUUUAAUCGUUUUUUUUAAUUCUUAAUGGUCAAUUUUCUUAUUCGUUUGGAUGACAAACACAUUUCAGUCUUCUAAUUGCAAAUGGUAAAAAUAAUAUUUAUAUUAUUUUUAAUCUAAUUUAAUUUCAUUAUUAAAUUGUUAUAUUGAAAUUUAAAAUUUUGUAUGUUUUCUUUUAUAAGUAGGUGGAAGAUUGAAUUUUGGAGACAUAUAUUAAACAGUCUUGACGCAAUACCCGUGACAACACACGUAUGCGAAGCGGUAUAUUUCUUGAUAGUCCAUAACCCCGUCUUUUUCUUCAUAGAAGUCAUGAUUUUCCAUGGACAUCUACUAUCUUGCAUUGCACAUUUCGCCUCGAAUUUCUCUGAUCGAGAUUUAACAAUGUAGAAGUUUACUCUAUUCUUUAUGUUGUAUCACUUCAUUGCUACGACAAAAGCAUCUUUAGAGGAGAACUCAUUCUCCACUUCUAAAUCAUCAGCAUCCAACAAAGAACUCGCAUGGUCCGAUUCUGUGUGGGAGUUCUGAAAACACCAACCCACCUUCUGCUGAGAGAUCUACAUUAUGCAUAUGGGUCGGAGGUGAGUAUGUCCUGAAUUGUAGAUCUUCUUCGACGGCUUCAUUCGUACCUUCAUCGUCUGAACCUCUAUCUUCUAGUUCAGUUGGAACCGGUUCUGGUUUAGAAAAUAAUGUAAUUUCUAAAUCAUCCAGCCCAGACUCCUACAUUGGAUUGUCAUUGGUUUUAGUGUCCUCUUCAAUCUCAACCCCUCUAGCAUGUCCAAGGUUGGAUGUCCCUUCACCGGUAGAGGUUGUAGGGAGUACAUCAUCCAUUCUUGUAUAGUUGUCGGUACAACCAAAACCACCUGCAGAUUGUCCACCGGUGGAACUUAAUGUCAUACCCCUGUAAGUGUUCCCGACGUAUAACAUCAGACUCUCAAAGUUGAAAUCAAAACUACUAACAGAGUGUCAUGUCAGGGUGUUGACUGCCUAUAAAUGAGUUACCGUUUACAGAAUAAAUAUAACACCAAAAAUACAAGAGUUAAGAAUGAUGGUGUCCGGAAGUGCACAGGUCAAAUUGUAAUAUAAUUUUACAACGAAAUACCAGAAGUAUUCUGAGAAUCAUACCCAAAGGAGGAUGAAAUAAAUAAUGAAAAAUAUUUUUUACAAUAAUAAGUCUAAAUAGUAGUAAUUAUUUCCUAUAUACUAUUAACCAUAAAAAUAGAUUAAGAACAAUAAAAAUAAAUAAACAACAAAAAUAAAUAAAUAAAGAAAAAUAAACAAAUUAAUUAAAUUGAUAAACCAAUCAGGAAGAUUAACUCGUUUCAUGGUUUGUAACUAACUUCGGAUUAAGGUUUUGAGAUGGAUUAGUAAUCGAUUAACUAAUUAUUACCUCUCGGUCUCUAAUUAACUAAUUGAUUCAUUGAUAAUAUUCGCUUAUCUCCCGACCUCACUUUCUCAACCAAGAUAAUUACGAUUUACUCAAUUUGACUUAUCUUCCGACCUGUUCUAGCUUAUGAUAACUUAUUAGGGUUGUCAAGCCUAACAAUUUAAAAACACAUAAUUUAUACCAACUAAUCCUUCUUGAAAAACCCCAAAUUCUUUGUUAAUCACAUCCUCAUCCACUCAUUAAUCUCCCCUAAGAUAUUUAGUCACUCAUGCUUUUAAUAAUCCCAACUUCGAUUGAACAAACCAAGUGAAAAACAAAACCAACUUGGAGAAGAAAAGAGAUUUGAAUAAUUGUAGAUUGAAUAUAAAAUGAGGAACGAAAUAACAAAUCUCUCGAUUGAAAUAAAGAAAUAAAACAAAUGUAAAUAAAAUUAUAAUCGAAUACUUUUAAUUAAAUAAACACGUUAUUGAAUCAAAACUAAUUCAAGAAGAAAAACAAGAAAGUUAUGAAAAGUCGAAAAGAAAAUAAACUACAACUGCUUUUAAACUACGAGGGUUUUUUGAAGGCGUCUAGGAUGACUUGAUUAUAUUCAACCCUUAAUGUCUUAUUUAUAGAGGUGUCAACAAUUCAUAUUAGGUGUUUGGCACGUCCUAGGUCUUCAUAUAAGUUUGAUUGCGUAGACAAAAAUUACCCCAAAAUACAUAGGCAGCACGUCGGCUUUAUGUCGCACCACACACCUUGCAUGGUGUGACACGACACCCAAAUACUAUCUUGUCUCGUUCAUUUUGUGCUUUGAUGUUCAGGAAAGCUUGUACAUCAUUCGACCCUUACUUCCACGUCAAUUGGACCUUUAUAUAUCCAUCUUACACACUGAAUUAAACCAAUUAGCACAAUCUCAGGCCCGUGUCAGUCUAUUGGGUCACAACACCUACAAACUGUUUAAAAACACUUAUUUUUAUUAACUUUCAAUCCUAAGGUCUAAUUACUGAAAAAGUUGUCGAAACCAUUUUUUUAUUUGAAAAAUGGAAAUCGAUUUUGAAAAUGGAGUGGCCACCAAUCUUUUAUUGGGGUGUGAUCAGGUCACCUUAAAAAUGAUUUUAGGUCUACAAAUUUUGAGAAAACAAGUUCGGGAGUCGGUUACGCACAAGGAAGGGUUAACACCCUCGUAACGCCCAAAAUUGGUACCGAAUUAAUUGUUUAAUGUCUUAGUGUCGAAACUUGAAAAGAUUUUUAAAUACGAUCCCAUGAAAUGAAAGCUUAAAUAAUUGAAUUGGCUAAAUAGACGGACCUAUUUCAAAGAGAUAAAUCGCCACACUCAGUAAGUUAGAGUGCAGCAAUUCAAUCUUCGGAGCUAGAUUCGUCUUUCCUUUUUAAAAAUUUUUAAAAAAAUCAUAUGUUUUAAGAAGGAUAUUUGAUUAUUUAAGCCAAUCGAGAAAUCAGAAUCCAGUAAGUUAGGGUUCAAUUUCUCGAAAUUCUUAAACAUCAAAUAUUGCCUUUAUUUUAAAAUCGAGACAACAAAAUGUCAUAUCCAGUAAGUUAGGAUCCAACAUUUUGAAAUCUUAAGAACUUUAUUUUAACAAUUGUAUGGUUUUAAUAAAAUGAACACUUGAUUAUCUAAAUUCAUCGAGAAGAAUUGAAGCCCAGUAAGUUAGGGCACAAUUCUCUUGAGAACUUAUGAACACCAAGCUAUUUUAGGAAUUAUGAAAUAAAAUGAUUAUAGUGCUUUAAUAAAAUACAACUCUUACAAAUGAAACAUGAUUGAAUAACAAUACAUAAAAUGCAAAAAAAAAAAAAAUAGCAAUAUAAAUUUACACUAAGGAGCAAUCAAGCAUGUAAUACAUCAACAUUGAUAAUUAUGCAUAUAAUAAAUUAAUAAUCAGUUUUCUAAAGAUACUUUGAUUAGAAAUAAAAUAAAAUAAAAAUAUAGUUAAUAUGGAAAUUUAAAAACAAUUUGAUAAUAAAUAACCAAAAUAAAGUAAAGGAAAUAAAUAAUUUUUAAGAAAGAGAGUAUUUAUGCAUUGAAAAAAACUUUAUAAUUCGAAAUUAAUAAUAUAUUUUAUACACAUGUACACCAAAAAUAAUUCCAUAUAAAUAAUAUAUACAUAUAUAUAAAAGAACCAUGUAAUAUUAUUGUGAAAAUAAAAUUUGAGUUAUAUUAUGAAAUACAUUAUUUAAAAAUAAUAAGUAAUUUAUCAAAUUUUUAUAAAAAUAUAUCAAGAAUGAUGGAAACAAAUAAUAAUAUAUCAAGUUGGAAAAUAAAAGUGUACAAUAGAAAUUUUGAAAUAAUGUUUAAUAAAUUUAAAACAUAUUGAUAAUAAUAAUUUGAAAGAAUUGUGUAUUAUAUCUUAAAAUUAUAUUAAUAAUCAGUUUGAAAACAAUAUUAAGCCAAUAUUAAAAUAAUAUUAAAAAUAACGGAUUAAUAUGAGAAUUGAUUUAUUUUUAAAAAAUACUUUUGAAGGCAAAAUUAAAUAUGAAAAAAAACUUUUUUUUUAAAUUAACAACAAUAAUUAUAAUAAUAUCAACAAAUUUUAAAAUCGAAGCUUAAAUAAAAUUAGUAUAAAAAAGGAAAAGAAAAUUAAAUAAAUAUACAAUAGACUCAAAAUAUUGGUGUAUAAUGAAUUUAAAAAUAUUAAAAAAAGCUAAAAUAAUAAUUUAUUACAUUUUAAACUAUAAUAAUAGUAAAUUUAAACACUAUCAAAAUCAAAUAUUACAAAUAAUAUUAAAUUUUAUAAUAUAUGAAAGUAGGAUUAAUUACAUUUAAAAAUAUUAUUGAAUUAAAAAUGAAAACUAAAUUUGCAUUAAAUUGAAACAUAUUUCAACGUUGAAGGACUAAAUCAGCAAUUAAACGCUAAACCUGAAUAAUCAAAAUCAAUAGCAGAAAACGAUGCCGUUUAGGCUUGGAUCCAAAUGAAAACAGAAUUAAAUAUGCAGUACAAAUUAAAAAAACUGAAGAAAAUUAGAUUGAAACUACAUAAAACAUAGAGGGACUCAUUUCGCAAAUAAACCGACGAACGAAACGCGUGGCUCCUGCCCCGGGUCGGGUCACCGCGCGGAUACCUGCGUCAUACCACGUCGUUUUGAGACCACAAGGCCCGGCCUCAAACGACGCCGUUUCUAGCUAGACAUAAAAACUAAAGUAACCCUAAUUUAAACAGACUCUUCUUCCUAAAAAAAAGAAAAGCAGAGACUUAAAAUGAGCAGAUCCUCGGUGUCACAUUUUGGAACCUACUGCUCAUGGGACCUUCAACCCUCGCCCGGCUCCAAUUGUGACGGAGCGAACGACGGUCAGGUAAGUUCCUUGCUCUUUUUUCUUUUCUACUUCAAUAUUAAUCAAUGAACAAAGGAGCAGAAAAAAAAAACAAAGAAAAGAUUAACUAUCACCUUUCGAAUUUUUCUUUUCACUGAAAAUGAGUUUUUUUGUAUUCAAUUUCUCUGAAUGCGUAACUGUUUACAGUCUAUUCUUGGAUUUUUUAUAGCCUGAUUUUUUUACAAGAGAAAAAGAAAAUUAAAAUAAAUAAAAGGAAAAUUGCCCCGUCCUUGUUAUUCUGUUAUUUUCUUUUGCUCUCAUUUUCGUGUGUUUGCUUGCAGGUACUCGGCCAGCCUGGAGGUGCAUCUGUGUGGAGAUGACGCACGCGCCUAGUGGCGAUGCACGCGCAAGGUUUGUUGGAUUCAUCUAUGGCGCUGAAGCAGGGGUCUGUUGUGGCUUCACCAGAUUAGUCUAGAAACCACUAGGGUUUCUAAUUUUGGGUUGUUUGGGCUCGAUGUAUUCGGGUUUGGGCUUGGGUAAUGUAUUUUGGGUUUGGUUAUUUAAUUUCUGGUAUGUAAUUAGGUGGUGUAUUGGGAUGACUAGGUUGAGUAUUAGGAAAUUUGGGUUGGGCUAUUUUUGGCCUGCUGUUGUAAUGAAAAACUGGACAUUUUAUUAUUAUUUAUUUUAUAUAUUUUUCAUAUCUGGGUUUUAAUAGUUGGGCUCGGGCCGGAAAAAAUUUGGGUAUUACAAACGUAAAAUAAAAUCCUAAAUUGCCUAGAAAACAAGUUCAAAAAAUAGACAUUUUCUGUUAAUUCACACCUACAGAAAUAAUUUAAGUGUUUGUUUAAAUAAAGUUUAGAUAUUUUUACUAUAUUAGUACAUUUUUAAUAGAGACGGAUAGAAGGCAUGAGUUACUGGCAUGGUGAAACAGCGAAGCCCCCAAGACCAAGAGAGAUCUGUUUUAGUAGGCGUUCAUCUCAAACAAAACAAUAAAGUAAAGAAUAAAACCUGAACAAGUGAGCUGGGACUAGGAGAAUCCAAUAAUUGCCUAAAACCCCAACCCCUUCAGAAUCAUAACAUAAACAAAACCCACCACGGUAGAAAAGACAAAUAGGGUUUUUGAAACAAAUUCAGAUUGGGCUUUAUAACUUAAAAUGAAGAAAAAAGUACAGAAAGUCCAGGCUAAGCUAAAUGCAAGUUCUGGCCCAUAAACAAAUCAGAACUGUGGACCAAAUCCUAAAGGAAAAUAGAAAAAAAACAGUCUUUAAGCAACUUAAAAUCAAAAUCUUCUAAAACCUAAUAAAUGCUAUCAUAUCUUGCCCAAUCAGAAAAAAUCCAUUUCUGUCUUUUCAAAAUCAUCUAUUCAUUUCUUCAAAGAGACGUUUCCAGAUUUUAAUGAAGCCUUGUCUGCCACUCCUUUGAAUUAUCACUAUACAGCUUCUUUAACCGUUCACUUCUUCUCAACACAUGUCCUCUGCCUUUCUUUCGAUUUCUUCCAGAUUAGCAGCAUACUCCGGGACUCUUCCAAUCAGGUAAAGUUCUUCUUUUUCCUUUAAUGUCACCGUCGCUAGUUUGUGUGCCAGGUUGUUCGCUUCUCUGGGAAUAUACUCAAGAUAGUAUUUUCCAAAAUUUUUUAACAGCUGAUGUAUAUCUUGGAUAUAUGCUCCGAUUCUGGAUUUAUCAUGGCUUUUCAGUUUGCACUUCUUUAUAAUAGAUAACGCAUCCCCUUCGAUAAUAAUGUUUGACCAUUGCAUGUCCCUACUUAUUUGAGUUGCUGUACGACACGCUAUUGCUUCUGCGGCAAAGGCUGAUGCCACAUGAUGAUGAAUCUCUGUGCAUGAUAAAAGUGUGUUUCCAUCACUAUCCCUGGCCACGAUUCUCGCUGCUGAUUGCCGUGAGUUCCCAUCAAAUGCUGCAUCGAAGUUAACCUUCACAAACUGGACCGGUGGGUACUUCUAUUCCCUGCCUGUUUUUGCUCCAAUCUCAUUCAGUUCACUAAUAUAUCUCUUUCCCAGAUCUAUUAGUCUUUUCAUGCACUCUCCUAUUCCUUUCUCCCCAUAUUGCCCAAAGAGCACAACAAAAGAUCCGUCACCGAUUGGUGGAAUUCUGUUCAAAAACCCAGGUAAGCCAUUGUACAAAAUCCACAUGAGGAACUUGUAAUAACUCUGGGAAUAAUAGCUCUUCCCAUACUGUUCUUGCCACAAGACAUUCACGGAAUAUAUGAUUUGUAGAUUCUACUGCACUGCCACACCCGAUGCAUGUCACAUUGUUUAACAGCCUUCUGUAGUUCAAGUUGACUCGAGUCGGGAUAUAAUUCCAUGAUAUUUUCCAGAUUGAAAUUUUUACCUUAAGAGGUAGAUUAAGGAGCCAUAGGUUUCUGUAGAAAUUUCUAGAAUCAUUUUGUAAAGCAUAAGCACAAGGGUCAUUUUCGAAGCCAGACCAGGAAGUCAUCGUGAGGUUCUUUUGCAAGUGGGAUACAGAAGAUUUUCUCAGAUAUCUCCGCAGGAAAGGUAGCUUCGAUUAGUUCUUUUUUCCAUUCUUUGUUUCUGUCUUCAAUUAGAUCUGCAACUUUAUAUUCCUGCAAAUGCGAUAACCUGGGAUAAUUGGUAAAAUAAAAUGAUAAUUUUGGAUAAUCCGGUAACCAACUAUCAUUAAUGACCGAGAUUACAGUACCCCUCUCUACUUUCCAACAGCUUCCAUCGAAUAGAACACCUCUCGUUGCCCAUAUGCUUUUCCACGCAAAGGAACUAUUAUUCCCAAGAUACGAAUUAAGGAAAUCCGUUUCUGGAAAGUAUUUAGCCUUUAACACCCUUGCAACUAACGAGUUUGGAUUAUUUAGGAUUCGCCAGCCUUGUUUAGCUAAUAAGGAGAUAUUAAAAUUAGCCAUACUCUUGAAACCUAUACCUCCUUGUUCUUUUGCUCGGCACAUAUUUUGCCAUUUACACCAGUGAAUUCCUCUUUUUCCUUGCUUCUUUUGCCACCAAAAGGUGGCGAAUAAUUUUUCCAAUUCGUCACAUAGGGAAUUAGGGAGAAGAAAGCAUGACAUAGCAUAAGUCGGAAGUGCCUGAAGUAUGGAUUUAAUGAAAACUUCCUUGCCUCAUUGUGAUAAUAGUCUGGUGCUCCACCCUUUAAUUAUGGAGUUAACUUUAUCUUUUAGAUAUUGAAAAGCCUCCUUUUUCCGUCUUCCAACUACAUUAGGAAGGCCCAAAUACUUCUCCAUAUUUGUUGACCCUCUUAUACCUAAGCUCACUGAAACUUCCUCUCUAUCUCUGGUUGAUGUAUUCGAGCUAAAGUAAAUUGUAGAUUUUUCAAAAUUAACACAUUGGCCCGAACAUACUUCAUAUUCCUUAAGGAUUUCUUUUAGCACCCUUACAUCCUUGUUAGUUGCUUCUCCGAACAGAAUGCAAUCAUCGGCAAAAAGUAGAUGUGAAAUCGCUGGUCCUUUCCUGCUUGCCUUGACUCCUCUUAUUCGUCCUUCUUUCAAUGCUAAUCUCAUUAGUGCCGAAAGACCCUCGCUGCAUAGUAGAAAAAGGAAAGGACUAAGUGGGUCACCUUGUCGUAGUCCUCUAGAAGAUUGAAAGAUUCUUCCCCCUUUUCCAUUAAUAUUGACUGCAUAAAAAGCUGUAGUAAUGCAUUUCAUAAUUAAACCGACCCAUUCUUUUGCAAAACCCAUUCUCAACAUGACUUCCUUAAGAAAACUCCACUCAACCCUAUCAAAGGCUUUGCUCAUAUCAAGUUUAACUGCCAUAAAGCCUUUCUUACCUGUUCGUUUUCGUCUAAGAGUGUGUAGGAUCUCAUAGGCUAGCAAUAUGUUAUCAGAAAUUAACCUUCCUGGGAUGAAAGCACUCUACGACAGAUCAAUACACUGCCCAAUAACCCCUUGAAGUCUGUUGGCUAUUACUUUCGCCACAAUUUUGUAGAUAACAGUACAUAGACUGAUAGGUCUGAAACUUGUUAUGUUUUUGGGAUUCUGUGCUUUUGGGAUCAAAACAAUACCAGUAAAAUUUGAAUGGCCUAAAUUUUUGUCACUGUUUAAAAUUUCCAAACAAAAAGUGGUGACUUCUUUACCUACAAUAUGCCAAUAUUGUUGAAAGAAAAGUGCUGGGAAUCCAUCAGGUCCUGGUGCUUUAGUUGGCCCCAUUCCUUUCAAGGCAAGAUGCACUUCUUCUUCCGUAAAUUUUCCCAUUAAGUCUUCAUUUAUUUCUGGUGUGAUUUUCUCUUCAAUGCCUGUUAGGAGGUAGGAUAGCUCACCUACUCCUUUUGAUAUAAAUAACUUCUGAAAGAAAAGAGUAGCUUCUUCACUGAUCAUGCAUUCUUCCGUCACUUCUCCUCCUUCGAUAAGUUCCAGCCUUGAUAUCGUGUUUUUCUUUCGUCGAGAUGUGGCGUGCCUGUGAAAAAAAGCUGUAUUUUUGUCCCCUGCUUUUAUCCAAUUUACCCUUACCCUUUGUUCCCAAUAUCUUUCAUCUUUAUCAAUUUCUAAGUUUAGGUGCACCUUAGUAUCAAUGAUUUCUGCCAUUAUGUCAUCGGUAUUUAUCCUUCUCCAUCAGCAUCUCCAGUUUCUUUGUAAGCCUUUUCUUCAGCCCUUCUUGUCCUUUUUUAAUUUCCCCUGCCCAUUUUUUUAAGUCUGAUUGUAAUUUUUCCAGUUUCUCCAGUACGUUAUUUGUAGAUGAUUCCCAAGAUGCUUUAAUUUCUCCUUCAAGAGACUCUUCCAUAGUCCACCAUGCCUCAAAAUUAAAAAUUGGCUUUCCAAAAUUAUCAUUUUCUGUUUUUGUAGUAAGCAGCAGAGGAUAAUGAUCAGAUAAUGAAUGGGGCAAGUGAUGAAUGUUACCCAUUGGAAAAAGAUUCCUCCACUUAUCAUUGGCUACUCCUCUAUCAAGUCUCUCUUUAACAUUUGUUUCUGGUAUAUUUCCCCUUUCCCAUGUGAACCAAGGCCCUAUGUACCCUAAAUCUUCCAAGUUGCAUUCUUCAAGAGUUUCUCUAAAAACCUCCAUCUGUCUUUCAUCUCUUAGUAAACUUCCUUUUUUCUCAAAAGAAUACAUGAUUUCAUUAAAAUCCCCACUCACAACCCAUGGAUAUGUCUGGUCUUGUCCCAAUUUUCGUAACAAAUUCCACGAAUCAUUCUUCAGAUUGACAUAAGGGGAACCAUAGAAACCUGUAAAUCUCCAUUCUUCAUUGUCAGUUUCUUCCAUAACCAUUGCAUCAAUAUGAUUCUUAGAAAAACUUCUUAAGGUAACCGUAAUCUCUUCUCUCCAUGCUGAGCAUAAACCACAUCGAGAACCUUCUACAUCUACAUCAAAUCCAUUCUGAAAACCACAUCUUCUUCUAACUUUCUCCAUACAUUGCUUGCUUAAUUUUGUCUCCAUUAAGAAGACCAUUUGGGGGUUUUGCUGCUUUAGAAAGUAUCGCAGCCUUCUAACUAUUCGUGGACUCCCCAAUCCACGAACAUUCCAAGUAAUGAUUUUCAUUGCGUUCGGCCGGCUUGCCUCUUGGCAGCCGCCGAUCCUAUGAGUAAAUUAGUAUCACUCUGUUGCAUAGCGUUUCCCAUCGUUUCUAGUAGCGUUUCUCCUUGUUCCUGUUCUCUAUCUUUUUUAGUCCUUUUGUUUCAACUCCAUAUUCAGCUUCUAUAUAGUAAGUCUCUACUAUUUCUUCAGUAGCUUUCCUCUUCUUGUUGCAGUUUCCAUCCUUUUGCUUUGCCACUUUAGGGCUGGAUUGACUCUUCUCCAAGUUGACGACUUUACUGAAUUGGGAUUACUGUCUUGACUUCUCCUCUUAUCAACCACUCACUCAUUGCUCAUAACUGAAUCUUCUUUUUCCUGCUUCUUCAUCUCCUCCUUGUUUUCAUUCACUAGUAGCUCCCCAUGCGUCAUCCCCAACCAAUUAUUUGCUUCUUCAGCUUUGCCAUCUUCAAUCAAAUCUGGCUCAGAGCCACCUGUAUAAAAACAUUGAACCCUAUUCUGAUUUAAAGAGUUAUUUAAUUUAAUACACUCUUUUCCAAGUAAGUUUGAUUCUGCUCUUAGUGCCAUCGUGUAUGGGGGAUUUUCUUUAAUUUUUGUUUUUUCUGCAGGAUUUAGUGAGUUACAACCUGAAAGUCCGUGCCCCAGCUUCCCACAUCUGAAGCAAAAAGUCGGUAAUUUUUCAUAUUUAAAGGAAAUCCACCAUUUAUUCUUAUUAUUCACUGAGACAAAAAUACCUCUUCGAAGGGGUUUCUGCACAUCGAGAUUUAUUUUUAGACGACACCAUUCUCCGUUGAUUUCAGAUCUGAUUAUCCCACCAAAAGUGACACCUAUGGCAUGUAGCAAGUCUUUUUUAUCAAAUUAUGGUAGACAUGGUCCUACCUUCAGCCAGACCGGUGAGGAGUUGAGCCGAAUCUGAGACCUUUCCACCGAUUGGGUAAUCCUGUCGAAAAGGAUUAGACUCUUUCGAAAUAACCAUGGCCUACCUUCCAUAAUCAAUUCUAAAUCCUCUUCCAUCUCAAACGCUAUCAAAAAUAGGUUUUGUCCUGCUGUUUGAAUCUCAAACUUCUUUUCUGUUUUCCACAAACUCUUCAUCUGUGCCCUAAAACUUUCCGGAUUGUAAAACUUCUCUGUCCAUAUUGUGCAGAUCAGGGUUGGUUUUUUAUUCGGAACUACCUUCGAACCUUUGAUAGAUAAUUGGAUAAGCUCUUCAGUUAAGAGUGAAAUCUCGUCCCUCUGCUCACUAUCAUCUCCACCGCUUUCCCCCAUCCCAAGUUGCAAAAGUGACUGCCUUCACUAGGACUCUCGGCGAAGCACUCUUGGAAAAGAAGUAACUAGGGUUUUUUUGUAAAAAAAAAAAUAUUACAAAUAUUUAACAAUGUAGAAUACUUUAAAUUGCUCUUAUUCAAAAAGACAAAUAGGGUUAAUUUAUCUAAAUAAUAUUAAAAAAUUAAAUAUUAAAAUAGAUUGUCAACUGGAUUAUAUACGAAAAUGAAUUUUUUUGGGUCGUGCCUAUCUGAUACGCGCAACAACUUUUUUAUAUUAAAAUAUCUUUUUACUUUAAAUAAAAUAUUAUUAUUUUAUUUUUAUUAAAAAUAUUUAAAUAUAUAUAUACAGGUCAAAAUACAGUUAACGAGUCAAAAUACGGGUUAAAAAUACCCAAGACCAGUCACGCCUAUCAGAUAGGCGUCACUGGUCGAGCCUGACAGGCAGGCGCCACUGCCUCCCCCCUGCGCCCCUCUGCCCCGCACAAAAAUAUACUUUUGUUAUUAAUUAUUAUUUAUAAAUUGUUUAUGUUUAGUGUUUAUGGUUUUGGGUUAAUAUUUGGUAUGAAUGUAAAUUUUUUUUAUAAUUAUUUUAAAAUUAAUUUGUUAGUAAUUUAGGAUUAUGUUAUAUGUAAUUAUUUUAAAAUUAAUUUAUUAGUAAUUUAGGAUUAUCUUAUAAAUUAUUGUGUUUAGUUUAGUAUUUGGUGAGUUUUUAAUAAUGUAAAAUUAUUUUUAAAAAAAUAAUUUUAUAGUUAUUUUGUUCAACCAGUCGCGCCUGUCAGAUAGGCUCCACCAGUUGCGCUUACUAGAUAGGUGCCACCUACCCCAUACCAUUUUUGUAUCCGGGAAAAAAAAAAUACAAACACCACGCCUAUGAGAAAGGAGCUGCCAAUAAAAUAAUAUUUAAAAAAAUAAAAAAUACUAUAAUAUAAAAAAAGAGGUUGCGCCUAUUUUAAUUUUUAUAUUAUAAUAUAAAAACAUACUAUUUUCGUAUAUAAUCCAGGUGAUAACCUAUUUCAGUAUUUAAUUUUUUUUAAUUAUUUAGGUAAAUUAACUGAAAGUAAAGAUUGCCAAAUCCCCGCUGGAGGAUGGAACAAAAAUAUGGUGGCCGGAAACACUCGAAACAGUGGUUCCAUACGCAACCAGAUCUGGCAUCCUACCCAAAAAACCAGCACAAAGGAUGAAAGAAGUGUCACUCCUCAGACCCGGUAGUGAUUCAAGUAUGAAGUGAUUGAAAACUUCAAACUUCAUGCAAAUUCUGCAACUUUACUGAAGCACAGAACAACAUUUUAACCAAUUGAAACGAUACAUCCGAACAUACCAAAUAAUUUUAUAUAUCAGUGUUAGAGUAUACGAUUUGGCCUACAUUGCUUAGCACUCAAAGUUAAUUACAUCAAGGGCAAAAAAUCAUCAGCGUCUCUAUCGGACACCACAUUUGUGUUCCUUUCGUGUAUAAUCUGAGCAAACCGUGUUCUUGAAGGAUAAAUUAAGCGUUGGUGAUCAUGAAAGCAAUCGUUGAUAUCCGAAUUUCUCGAUUUCGAGUAAUUUUAAGACUUCUUGACUGAAGCAUCCAAGUGAGCAGCAGCAACAAUGUCGGAUGGCAGAAGUUCUGAUGUUCUGCUGUUUCAGUUCAACAAAUUAAAACUGAUAAAUCCAAUAUGAAGAACUGUGUCAUAGGAAUGAAUCUGGAGACAACAAUAAACAAGAAGUUGUCAUCUACAGAUGAACCUCCAAACAUGCAAUGCAAAGGUGAAGCCAAACUUUAUGGUCCGGUGAUCUUGAUUUGGGCAAUCAAGUUUCAUUUGACUUGCAGCUUGUUAAACUGUUGACACAUAAUAUCAGUUGGUCAGAUUCGAAUGAACGAAUUAAUAUUAUCAGAAUGCAAGGGAUUUACAACUUCACCAACCUGCAAAGCCAUGAUGAAUUUUCCGAGAUAUGGUUGUUUCCUGGAAUUGAAAUCAAGACCUCUACGGAAACUGAAAAGAGGAUAAAGAUCCGAUAAAUACAACACAAAUAAAAGUAGCAUGAUGAAUGAAAGUAAGUAUGGAUGAACAAAAGGAAGCAAUGUAACACAGUAUACCAACAAGAAACCUGAAAAUUCCCAUACCAUGCACAAUCAUUCACUGCAAAAUCAAACAUUGAAAAUCUAGUUGUCAAUCUAAUCACUUCUCUGCGACAGACCUUCGAGAAAAUUACAGACCAUUUGUAUCACAAAGCAGCCUAUAAUUAGAGAAUUAUACUUCUAUCCAACAUUAGCCUUCAUAGUGAUGACCAAUUACAGGAAUUGGCUGCCUGUGACCUAGACCAGAAGCCAUCAUUUGAAAAUGUGAUACCUCCAGAUCCUGCAGUGCUCAGUCAAAGAUGACACAGCAUCAGAAUUGACAGGAACGAGACAGAUUAAGAAGAUUAGGGUUAAAAAUUUAAAGGAUGAUUCAAUUAUAGAACAAUACAAGCAAGUUAAGAAACAACCGUUAGCUAUACAAGUUCAUAAUCACGUAACCAAUGCCAGCGAUAAGACGAAACGAGAGCAUGAGCAUUUACCGUCUAAACUCUGAAGUCCUGCAAACAAAUUACUGAGCUAGAAUGAAGUUUUUGUCAGAUGGCUAGAGACAAAUCAACAAUAGUCUUGACAUGAACAAAUGCCGCUUUUGAAGUGAUGGAAACAAUUUGCAUCACGAACAACUAUCUCCUGUUUUAUGACACCAGAGACAAGCUUCAUAAAAUCAUGGCAGUCUUCACAUAUGUGCAAAUUUUUGAAUAUCCGAAUUGUUUUCACAGGGUUGAUGCUAAUAAGAGCAAAAGCAAGAGCUAAUCUUUCAUUAUGAUGAAAGAGCUGUUCUAAUUUUUCAUCAUCACUGACAUCAUUGAGUAUAUGAUCUGUCUUAGGCACAUAUCCUGCUAAAAUAGACUUCUCGACAAGCUCCUUCAAUUUUAUAUAGAUCUCCCCAUGUUUUGGAUGAAAACCAUCAGUGGACCUGAAGAUGUGCACUUGACCAUUGACCAUCACCCAACUACACCCAGGUUCUUUCUUAACACCACAAUGGGUCAUCAAUGCUCUGACUCUUCGGACAUCCUCCCACCUACCCUUGGCAGCAAAAAUAUUUGCUAGUAAUAUGUAAUGGGAGGCUAUACCAGGAUUAAGUUCGAAGAGUUUCUCAGCAGCACUUUCACCAAGUUUGUCAUUUCCAUGCAUUCUACAAGCCCCAAGAACUGUCUCCCAAAUCAAGGGAUUCGAUGUAACCUUCAUGUCCUUGAUAAAGCUUUCAACUUCAUUGAACUUGCCAGCUCGACCUAAAAUAUCAAUCAUACAGGCACAGUGCUUAAUUGUGGGUACUAUUCCAAAAACAUUGGUCAGGGAAUCAAAGUACUCUUUCCCUUCAUUUACAAAGCCCAUAUAACUACAGGCAGAUAAAACUGCUAUGAACGUAACCUCAUCUGGCUCAAGGCCUUUGUCUAACAUCAUCCUAAAAGUUUCUAAAACCUUCAAUCCUUGUCUAUGUUGCAGGUAUCCAAAUAACAUCGUGUUCCAUGAUACAGUAUCCGUUGACACCAUGCCCUGGAAAGCAGCUUCAGCUUCUUCUAUGCAUCCACAGUUAGCAUACAUAUCUACAAUUGAAGAAGAUACAAACAUAUCACCUGAAUUCCCAGCCUUAAUUGCCAUUGAAUGAAGCAGCUGCCCGUUUUCCAACAUCGCCAUAUUGGAGCAACUACUCAAACAGGUAGCAAGAGUGAAAUUAUUGGGCGUGACACCUUGCCUCUGCAUAUGAUUGAAGCACUUGAUAGCCUUCUCUGAACAAUCACUUUGAGCAUAACCAGCAAUUAAUGCAGUCCAUGAAAAAAGAUCCCUCUCAAUCAAUUGAGUAAAAAGUAGCUCUGCAUCCGCCAAGAAUCCAUUUUUGGCAUACAAGUCAAUAAGAGAUGUUCCCACUAAAUUAUUAUCCUUUAGGCCAUUCUUUAUUAUAUGGGCAUGCACUUGAUGUCCAAAUUUUAUAUUUAAAAGAUUGGAACAAGAUCUUAAAAUGCUAGUAAAUGUACAGAUAUCAGGCUUAAAACCUUCAGCAAGCAUCUUGUGAAAGAUACUUGGUCCUCGAUCACAAGUUUUACCAUUAUGAGAUCCAGAAAGAAGAGAAUUCCAUGAAGCUGAAUUCCAAGAACUCAUUUCCUUAAACACCCGCCAACCAUUUUGGACUGACCUGAUUUUCAUAUACAUUGCAAUAAGUGCAUUGCUCAAAAUGAUUUCAGAUUCAAAUCCAUGUUUAAAUAUACAAGCAUGAACGCCUUCACAAUAUAACCGAUCACCCAAAUUAGCAGCUACACCAGCAAUAGAGGCAAAAGUAUGCUGAUUGGGGCUUACCCCUUUGCAUCUCAUUAGAGAAAACAACUCAGCUGCCUCUUGAAUCUGGCCUUGCUCAUCAAGGCAGUCAAUCAUUGCACUCCAGGCUACUAUGUUGGGUUCUUGAAUCCUUUUAAAAACCUUAAGAGUAUCCUCAGCCAGUCCACAUUUUGAGUACAUAUCAAGAAGGCAACAACCAACAAAUUCAUCAUGCUCACACCCGGUCUUAAUCACCAAAGAAUGUGCAAUCAAGCCCCAUGUUAAGUUUACCAGGUACGUACAACUUUUGAGCACAUUUGACAAAGUAAACUUACUACACCUCAAUUCAGAUUCCGUCAUCCCUUGAAACAAAUUCAAAAUCUUUCCUGCAUCGCCCUUUAGAGCAUAUCCAUUAAGCAAUGCAUUCCAUGAUACAACAUUCUUUUUAUCCAUGAACAGAAAUACUCUCUCUGCCAGUUCCAUCUGACCACAUUUCGCAUAAAGAUCAACAAGAGAGGAUCCAACAAAAACAUCCAACAAAACUCCAACUUUAACACCUUCCCCAUGCAACAAUGUACCAAAAAACAAAUCCAAACUCAAAGAACAAGCUUUCAAAGCGGUCACUAAGCAAUGCCCAUUUGGCAGAACCCCAUCUUUCUUCAUAGAACAAUACAAAUCCAACACAUAAUAUCCAUACCCUUCAUUAACCAAACCAGAGAACAGAGCGGCCCAAGACACAACAUCUCUUUCAGGCAUUCUAUCGAGCACUUUACAAGCAUAUCCAAAGACCCCACGUUUUGCAUAAGCAUUCACUAAGGAGUUCCAUAAAUGCAAAUCAGGGUCAAUCCCAUUUUUUAUUAUCUUCCCAUGAACAGCUUUGGCUGAACUCAAAGACCCUUUUGAUGCGCAAUCAUGUAGAAUCUUAGAGUAAAGCUUUAACCUUUUAGAUCCUUCAAGCUUUGUUUUUUCUUUGAAAAGUGGGACUUUUAAAGAUGGGUUUAUCUCUUCUGUGGCAACAUGGGCAGUAAAAGAAGAAACAAACUGAAAUGAGGCAAAAAGCAACCUCCUGGGGAAUUCAAUGACAAGACGGUUUUUUCUUGUGGACAAACAUCGAAAAACAAGUGAUUGAAUAAGCAUUGAAACAAAAUAAAAAAUUAAAAAAUAGCUUGGGGUUUCAGAUUUCUUUGUGUAAAGAUAUCGAGUUUGAAGCUUUUAUCUCGCUGUUACUUCAGAUAUAACUGGGCUGGGCUACUCACGCAAGUACGAAGUAUCAUUCGAAAGCUCGAAAAAUUUAGAUAAAAAUAUUAAGUUUAAAAAUAGGUUUGAAUAAAAAAUAUUAAAUCUAUUUAAAAAUAUGAGCUAAAUUCGGGUUUGAGCAUUUAGAAUUUUUGAUUUGAUUAAUUUUUAAGUUUGUAAUAUUUUAUAUUAUAUUAUAUUUAUAUGUUAUAUAAUUUAGAAUACAUUAAAAAAAUAAAACUAUAUUAAAUAUAUAUUAUUAUUCUAAUAUAAACAUUAAAAUAAUGUUAAGAUAACUAUAUAAAAAUUUUCUAUAAAUAAAAAGUAUAUAAAAUUAUUAAAUAUUAAAAUAAAAUAAAAUAAAUAUCUUUUUAAAAAAUUUAAAAAUAAUAUGUCGGCCUAAAAUGGAUUUGGAUUAAUCUUUUACAAAUAUAGACAUAUUUGAAUAAAAUUUUAAAUUCAUAUUUCGAGCCAAAUCGAACUUGGACAAGCAUAAAAUAUAUUAAUAAUAUGCUAAAGCCCAAUCUGAUCUAGUUCAUGAACAACUCUAAUAAGAUAGCUAGGCUCCUUGUACUUGGUCAGCAUAGGUAGAAAAUGAGACUGCUUUCUCUCUUCAUUGAUUGUAACAAAGCGUGCUUUCAAAUGGUUUUUAGGCUUUGGUUCCAAAGUGACGCGUACUUUCGAAUGAAACGUGCUUUAUGAUAUUUUCUGAGCAUUUAUAAUAGUACCAAGUGCUAUUCCUAUUUUGGCAUUUCUAAUUUCUAGAGUUUUAGCCCCAGUUAAAAAGGGUCUAUAAAAACUUUUUAGUUAUGAAUUGGGUAUAGAACCAAUAGGCGAUGCUUGGUUACAAUUUCGAAUCCGUUUUUACAUGUUUGCUCUAGUUUUUGUUGUUUUUUUUUAUGUUGAAACGAUUUUUCUUUAUCCAUGGGCAAUGAGUUUCGAUGUAUUAGGGAUACCUGUAUUCAUAAAAGUUUUUAUUUUCAUGCUUAUCUUAAUUGUUGGUUCAGUUUAUGCAUGGGGAAAAGGAGCAUUAAAAUUAUCUUAAUUCCUGAAUAUUCAGAUAAUAAAAAGAAAGAAAAAAAGUAGGAUUCUAUCAAAUUUCCCUUAGUUUACUUUGAUGAAGGCUUGAAGUAAAGAGUUUGUAUUGUACCUCUUUAUUUGGACUUUGGUUCCGUUUGAACAGAUCCCUUGAAGUAAAGAAUUUUGUAAAAGUCUGUUUAAAAGAGAAGUUUCCUUAAAAUUCCCAAAUAUAUAUUACAUAGAUACGUACAAUGUGUGUCUCAAAGAAAUUAAAGGCUAACAAUGGUCUUUCCAAGCAACCAUAAAACAAGCGAUAACUCAAGGCCAAAAAUGGUGUGGAGUGUGCUCCUAUCUAGUACGAACCCAUAGAUUGUUAUCCCAGCUCGAUUGUUCUCAAAAUAAGUCACUGUCAUCAACCAAGAAUGAAACAGACCAAUAUCAUCAAGCAACUCAACACGUAUACUACUGUUAUGUUCAUGUUGACAUUGUAACAACCGAGUUUCAAGACGUCUAUCUCGAGUCACCCUAUGCAUCGGGAUCUAGCCGUCGCUUCCAAAUACACUAAAAUCCCGAUAGGCAAUGAGAAGGAAAUGUCCUAAAACCCAAUCGUUACAUGUAAUGUUCUUCGGAGUGACAUUAUUACCUAGAGCUUGUCUCUUUUGGAAUGAAAGGGUACUAUAAGCAUAAGACGGGAUCAUCUUGUUGUUGUCUAUGUCAUCUUCAUCACCAACGUCAUCUCCAUCGUCCGAUUCACCAUCCGUACCCACAUGAGGGAAAGGUUGAUGGCUCUGAAUGACAGACGGACUCCUCGGCAUAUCAUCUUCGUUCGCAUUGAGUGAAUCUAAUGUUGCACAAGCAUGCCACUUUGCCGCUAGGCAUGUAAUAGCUUGUGCUUUGUGAGUUAUUUUCGUUGCACUUCGUAAUAAUAUACAGAGUCCAGUGAGGAGAGUUAUAGAACACAACUACAACAACAAAAAAAGGGCACUCAUCCAACAAUGUGUUAACCGUUUUGAUCCGAAAAUCUCAUGGAUAGAUAAAUGAACACUUACAGCAAGUUCUCCAGCUUUAUAAAAAUUCAGUGCAGAAGUAGCCUUUGUAGUGAUAAGCAAAGAAGUGAAUUGGCUGCCAGUGAUCAAGAUCAGGCAACAUAUUAUAAACGCGCGAUAUCGAUGGCUGAUGAUCCUCAAAUGCCUCCUGAUCCGCAGGUGUUCGGACAAGACUGAACCAACAUCAGAAUCAAUUUGGAAAACCUGAGCAAAGUCGCGGAGUCGGAGAACCUGGAGAUUGCAAAUAAGGUGGAAAAGAACACACACAAGGAAGAAGACAGUCGUCCGGUAAAGCCACGAGCACAGCUCCGUAAUGCAGGCAACCGUGUCACUGAGCCAGACAAUGCCUAGGAAAGGAAUUUGUGAAGCACCUGAGGCAUACCACCAUACUUUGUAUGCAGUCUCAGCUAUGAAACAUGGAAGAACAAAGACUGCUACAAUUUUCAGUGAUCUCUGCAUAUAUUAUACAGUAAAAUUCAAUCACAUUAAUCUAUGAAUUGAAAGUUUUUUUCAAUAUCAUCCAAAAGGAAGCAACCUAGCAUUCUACAUUUUCUUGUAGCCAUAUGAAAUUGAAAUUCUCAAAGGAACUGAAACUACAAAAUUCUAAACGUUCUUACCUAUCAAUAACGAAAGAUUCAGACAAUAACAAAAAAAAAAAAAAAAAACCAGAAAUUCAUUCAAAUCCACAUAUGAAAACUAUUCUAAAAAUUGCAAUUUAAAGAAACAAAAAAAAAAAAAGGGUCAUGAAUUUGAAGGGAAAGAAUGAAAGAAUACUUACAUUGAGCUGACCAGUGUAUCCUUUCCUGACAGCUUCACUUUCAACAUAAAGCUUAUCAAAAAACAAGAACCGUUUCAAACCAUAUGUCUUGACAAACCUCGUCAAACAAACAAAAGACAAAGCUGAAACACUGCUCAAAGACAGCUGAACCACCGAAUCAUAAGGCCUUGCAUGUUUAGCAUCACAAGUGGAACAAGCCAACCAAAAAUGAGACACAGAUGGGACAACAAGCCCCAAAAAUAUGAACAAAAACCAAGACAAACAAGUUGUCCAAAUGUUUGAUUGAUCAACACACAUCCAUUUUAGGUAUGUUCUAAAGCUUUGUAACUCAUCUUUUGCAUGAGAUAUGCUUCUUGUGAACUUCUUAGUCCCAUCAUCCACCAAAGGUUCCAUGGUGUCUCCCAUCAAGGGGAUUUGUGGGAGAAUUUGAAGAGUUUGGGGGGAGGGGGGAUUUGUAAGUUUUGUUGGAUUUAAGAGGGGAGGAUGUUGUGAUCCAAUCAGAGGAUAACAAGUGUUGGAAUCGAGAGAGAAAAGAGGACUCAACUUUUCUUCUAUUUUCCAGGAAAAAGUUUUGGGAAAAAUCUAUCAGAAAAAUUAUUUUCUUUUUUUUCCUGGUUUUGACUGUACAUUACAAUUAUACAAUUAUUUUAUAAUAAUCAUUCUUAAUUGUGAAUUUCUGUCUAAAUCUGACGUUGGUCCUCAGAUCAAGCAGGCAUUGUUGAAAUUAUACCUGAAAAUUAAACGAUCUAAUCUAAUUUAUUUACAUUAUAUUAUUUUUUAUUAAAAAUGUAUCAAAAAAUGUUGAUUUUUUAAAAAAAAAAUUUACUGGACUAAGUUGAUCUUCAGAAAAAUUACGGGAUUAGGUCGAAAAAAUAAAAACACUUCCAGCUAGAAGCAUUUUCAGCGGAUUUACAGAGAAAUGCUUUUAGCUGGAAGCGUUUUCCAUAACAGCUACCCCACCCCAACGGUUAGAAAUCCAUCUCAAAGCCGUUUACCCCCUACGCUCUUUUCCUUUCCUAUAUAAACCCCCUAAAUUCUAUUCUUUUUCAAUUCAAUCUCAUCUCAACUUUCUCUCACAUUCUCAAUUUUCUCUCAAAUCUCUUUUAAAGUUCUCUCAAUUCUUUCUUGAUUCUCACUCAAUUUUUAUUCCUCUCUCAACUCUCUUUUUUUUUAUUAAAAUUUUAAUAAGGUUUUCUUAAAUUAAUUUUUUUCAUAUUUAUUGAAAUUAGUAAGGUCAAAGUCUCUAAUUCGCUUGGAUGACAAGCACAUUUCGGUCGAUUAAUUGCAAAUGGUAAGACGUUUUUUUACUAUAUUUAGUCUAAUUUAAUUUAAAUAUUUUGUUAUUAUACUAAAAUUUAAUAUUUUGUAUUUUUUAUAUAUAAUCGAAAGAUCAGAUUUUGGAGACAUAUAUUUGUAUUCUACUCGUUCCUCCAUCGUCUUUAAUCAAACCAUAUUUGAGAGAUGUGAGAUUUUUGCACGUAGCCCGUAUGGGUAGGGGGUGUAAAUUUGACCCUACACUUAUAAGCAUGUUGGUGGAAAGGUGGAGACUUGAGACACACACAUUCUAUCUUUCAUGCGGCGAGUGUAGUAUCACACUCAAGGACUUGCAGUUACAACUCGAGUUAUCGGUGGAUGGGUCGGUAGUGACUGGGUCAAUUGUCGCGGUCGAUUAGAAAAAUGUAUGCGCGCAACUUUUAGGAAGGGUCCCAGGCAUGAUUUAUGGAGCUUGGAUAGAUAUGAAUUGGUUGAAAAAAAAAUUGGUGGGCUCGAUGAGGAAUCGGAUGAAGUUUAAAGAGAACAACAUGCUCGGACGUACAUCCUUAUGAUCAUCGAGGGUCUCCUAAUACCUGAUAAAUCAUGAAAUCUUGUCAAUUUAAGGUAACUGCUAAAACUUGUAGACUUUAGAGAAGCGAGCAAACUUAGUUGGGGGUCAGCUGUAUGGGCAACAUUGUAUCAGGAGAUGUGUCGGGCGACAAAACCACAGAAAAUUAAAAUCGGUGGUUAUAUGCUACUGCUACAAUCAUUGGAGUGGUAUCGACUUCCAUUUUUACAUCCUCGAGCGGACUACCCUUAUACAUUCCCACUCAUAACAAGGUUAAAUUCAUUAGAGAAUAUAUUUAUCAUAAUAAAAUUAUUUAAAUUUUAAAUUAAUGUGUUAACAUAUUAUUUCAAUAGAUGGAACCAUGGGUCAAGUUAUGUGAGACUACCGGAGGAGCUUCAAGAUGUACAACUUAUGUCAGAUCAACGACCGGAAGUAGAGGUAUGUGUUUUUUAAAUUUGAAUUAUAUAAUAUUAACGUAUAUCUAAUUAAUAGUAUAUAUAAUUAAUUUUUUAUUAUUUUAAUAUAGUUUGAGUAUACGCCAUACUCCGAUAUGAGAAUUUAAGAAUGCAUCUCGUUUGAAUUCUUGGUGAAUCCCAACAUCUGGCACGUGAAGGUACCACUGGUAGUGUACACUACGGUGGAGAUACACGAAUUAGAUGUAGUUAUGCCACAGUUUAGGUUUAGGCAAAUGAUUCCGCCAACACCCUAAGACAUCGACAAUCUGCACCAUAUUGACUUGCGGGGGAGAAUCGAUGAAAUUGGCCUACAUUUCACGCGGAAUAUAUCAAUGUUUGGAACCAUAGGUAAAACUUUUUACCUACUCGCGAACUCAUUAUUUCUUGGGAGUUAGCCUACGAUUCAGAGUACAUGUCAUGGUUUAGACACCAUGACAAGCCAUAUCUACUAGCGGAAGAGACGAAGGGUAGGCAACGUUAUGAGAAGAGACCACGAUGAACGCCUGGGCAUCCAAGGUCUGGAACAGCUGUCGAGUUGGAUCCAUCAUCUACACCAAUGCAAGGACAUGCAUUGAUGACAUCACCACCCCCCGAUCAGUAUGGCUCGACUUAUUUUGAUGUUUUCACUAACCUCGUCAUUUUUAUAUAAGCACCACAUCUUGCACCAUAUUUGUUUGUUUCUACAUCGACUUCAAGUAUUAUUUUUAGACCACCACCUCCAUCACACGCAUAUUACACGUCGAUGCCAUCAACAUUUCAGACGACAACAAUUCUGACGGUGACGUAUAGGCCGUCUAUAUUUGGGGCACCGGCGGAAAGUCUGAUUAUUCAGCCAUCGGUGUAUGAGACACAAUAUGGUUAUACACCUAUGUUGAUGGUGUCACAAACACCUCCAGAAUCAUUGUUCCACCAAGGUGGACCAUCUUCACAACUAGUUGUGUAACAGCCCAUUUUUAGUGGUAUGUCAGAAACAGUGAUUUUAGGACCACAAUUUCGAUGAGUGAAUUAUUAUUUUGUUAUUUAUUUAAUGUCUACGAGAUUAUAUUAAGAUCGUAUUAAAGUUUUGUUAAGACAUUUUGAUGUUUAAACAGAUAAUUAGAUAAAAAGGACUAAAUUGUAAAAGGUGUAAAAGUUGAAUUGUAUUAGUUAAAGGGGUCAAAUGGCUAUGAAAUUUUAAUUUAAUGGACUUUAAUGAUAAAUAGACCAUUUAAUUAGUUAUUGGAUAGUUAUGGAUAAUUUUUUAUUGAAAAUUUGAUAAUUUUUAAAGGUUAAAAUGGUAAUUGAAUAAUUAAAAGAAAAUUUAAGUAAAGAAAGAUGAAACAAAGUCAUCAUCUUCUUUCUUUCAUUUUUUUUUCAACCAAAAAUCCAUGGGAGGAGAGCUUGAAGUUCCAGCUAGGGUUUAAUUUAUGCAUGUAAGUGAAUUCAAGCUCUGUUUUUAUUGAUUUUUAUGUUUUUGAGUUCGUUUUAGCUUAAUCUCGCUAGCCCGAGGAUUACUUUGCAAAAAUGUUAAAGAUUGAGGGAAUUUCCAUGGAUUUUUGAAUGAUUUUUGAUGUUAGUUGAUAGAUUAUGAAUCUUUAUUGUAAAAUAAACAUGUUUUGUUAAGUGAUUUUUGGUGAAAUUAUAUUUAGGGAUUAAAUUGUUAAAAGUAUAAAUUCAUGGAUUUUAUUGUGAAAUUUUGGUAAUAAUAGGUUGUUUCAAGGUCCCUUGUAACUUUGGUUAAGUUGGAUUUAGGUUAAAAUGGUUAGAUUUAAAGUUAUGAGCUUAUGGACUAAAUUGUGAAAAGUUAAAAUGUUAGGGGAAUUCAUAAUUUUUCAUAAAUAUGAAUUAUGGAUUAAAUUGAAUUAUAGAGGUACUUAAUUUAUUGAAAUUAUCAAUUUAGAUCAAGAUAAAUCACAAUCGGGCUUAAAUCGAGGAAAAGCUAAAGCUUCAGAUUAAUUUGACUUUACUUUUACGCCCUAAUUAUCAAGGUAAGUUCGUAUAAACUAUGAUCAUUUUAAUGUUAGUUAAAAUGACUAUUUGCUAUGUUUUUUUUUAAUAUAAAUGAAUCAAUAUGUAAAUGUAUCCAUGUUAUGAUGAAUUGACGGAUAACAAGUCCCGGUUGAACCUUAAGAAUUCUUACGAUACAAUUACAUGUCAUUAGAGAUUUCAUAUUUCGGGUGCUAGUCUUGAAUGUCCUACCAAUGGCUGAGGUCCUGCAUUUGUUGCGGAUUCUCCACAACUCAUGUGAGUAGCAUCGUGUAGCUUACAUUCCGACCUACAGCUCGUGUGAGCAUUGAUGUAAAGAAAAGGUUACGGUUAUAUGUAAAUGCACACUAUGUGUGAGCUUUUCUGAGUAUCUGAUGUAAUUCUAGAUGGUUGAACGGGUAAGAAAAGGAAAUGAAAUGGUAAGUAUGCAAAUGGAUUGAAUGAUGAUAUUAUGAAAAGAUUUAUGAGCUAAAGGAUGUUAUCUACAUAUAGAAAUUUACUUAUCUUAUGGUUGAAUUCAUUUGUAUCAUGAACAAGUGUACUAACUUGUGAAUUUGAUGAUGUUGUAUAGGCUUAAGCUAAGCUUAUGGUAUUGGUAAUGAUUUAUGCUUAAUCUAUGAAUUGUAAAAAUGACAUGGCAAGUUAUGUUUAAGUUUAUAUGAGCUUACUAAGCUUUCGUUGCUCACGUAGUUUCUUUCCUUUGUUUUGUAGAUUAUCGGAAGCUCGACCGGUUGAAAGCUCAUCGGAGACCUAUCACACUAUCCAACAACUAUUUCGAUAGAUUUUGUGUAUUUUGGCCAAGGUUAAUAAUGGCAUGUAUAAGGUCUUGUAAUGUAUGUUUUGGUGUGUUUAAGCUUUUGAAGUUGUGUUGGUUUGGUGCACUUUGAUGCCUUGCCAAAUUAUGUCAUUUUGGUCACUUUCAAGUGCUUGCAUUUAAAGUAUCUAUUGGUGUGUUUGUAGUGUUAUGAAAAAGGUCAAAUGUGGUGUUAUGUGGUAGCCAAGGAACUAAGCUUUUAUACUUGCAAUAUGGCAAUGUUGAAGUAUUUUGAUAAUUGAUGUUUUGGUACAAUUGUGGUGCCUUUGAAUGACAUAUUGGUUAGGUGAUUUAGGAUAUUUGAAAUGGUAUGUUUAUGUGUGUUUGGAUAGUGUUUGAAUCCCUUAAAUGUGUGUUCAAAUGGUUUGAAUGGUUAAUUAUGAAAUGGAUUUGAAAUGGCUUGUUUUUAGGUAAAUUUUGGGUUCACACGGCUUGGGACACAGGCUAUCACACGACUGUGUGACACACAUGGCCUAGUGACACGGCCGUGUGUUAUUUGAGAGUUUCUUAGUGCUUCAAGUUAUUGAGUUACACAGCCUAGCACACGGGCGUGUGGGGCAACUCAGUGAGUUACACAAGUGAGAACACGGGCUGGGACACGGCCGUGUGUCCCUUGUUCGAAUGUUACACGGCCUAAGGUGAUGUCACACGGCCAUGUGACCCCUGUUUUCUAAAUUUUGCAAUUUUUUCUUAAAACUUCUAUUUUAUUACAAAUUAGUCCUGAAUUGUUUCAAAGCUAUUUUUAGGGCCUCGAAGGCUCGAUUUAGGGACAAAAUGCAUGAGAUUGAAUGGUUUAUAAUAUGAGUUUAAUUUAUUUAAAUAUUACAAUGUUAAAUGUUUUCGAUUGUACGGUAAUGCUUCGAAACCCUAAUUCGGUGAUGGAGACGAGUUAGGGGUGUUACAAGUUGUUCCUAGAAUAGAAGAUACACGAUGGCAACCGAGGAGCACUCUGCAAUCAACUACGGAUGAAGGCGAAUAAUAUGAGAGGCUGAGACCACAACGUGUACUUGAAGGUAGACGUAACGAUAAAAAUGAGGAAGUCGGUAUAUAGCUUGGGUGAAGAAGAAAUAUGACUCGCAACUGACAACCACCCCGUUGUGGUACACAUAGGAGCGAACAGAACUUGAUUCGACUUGAAAAAAUAAAAAAAAAUGUUCAAAUUUCGAGUUAAAUGAAUCGAGUUGUUCGAGUCAACUCAAUUUUUUUUCAAAUUUCGAGUUCGAUUCGAGUUUAAUUUUCGAAUUUGAAUAAACUGAAUAUCAAAGUAUAAUAUUUUACAUUUUUACCCCAAGCUCUCAAACCUUUUUACUUUACCCCCUAAUACUUUUACUCCCUCCCACUUUCCCUUAAAACUUUUACUCCCCUCCCAUCUCACCCCCAUCUACCCGAAACCCAUUUUCCCCCCAUUUUUUUUUGAAUAUUCCCCCCAUUGACUUUCCCCCCAAAAUUUUACUCCCCCAACUCUCAACACUUUUUAUUUUACCCUUAAAUUUUUACUUUUCACCUUUUACCCCCAAAUAAAAAAUCAUACAAAAAAAUCUCUAAACUUAAAUAAUAAUUUUAUUUAUAUAUACUAUUUAUAUUAUUAAAUGAAAUUUUACAUUUUGUACUAUUUAUAUUAUUGAAUUGUUUAAUCAUAUUAAAUUUUUAUAAAUUUUUGUUAAAAUUGAAUUAUUGAUGAUGCCAUAAAAUAUUUGAGUUAAAAUUUUAUAUUGGUAUCAAUUUCAUAUUUUAUCUUUAAAAUAACUUUUAUUGAAAAAUUAAUUUUUUAUAUUUAAUAUAUUUUUUAAUUUCAAAAUACAUAGUGACAAAAAUCAGAAGAUAAUUGAAGCAACUAAGCAAGCAAAAAAGUUAACCCGUAUAUAAAAUAUUAAUAAAAAUUAUGAGGAGAUGAAAGUUAAUAACAAAUUUUAUUAUGGUGGGAAAAUUUGAUUACAGUGGUGACAGUGGUUAUAAGGACCCAAAGUCAUUUUUUUAAAUUUAACUUGAACAAAUAUAUUCGACACGAUUCAAAUUCCACUCACUCGACACGAUUCGAGAAAAUUUCAAAUUGAGUUAGGAUGAUAAAAUAGGAUUCGUCAAUUCGAUUAACUCGAAAUUUUUUCAUUCGAUUCGAUCGAACGCUCGCGCCUAGGUACACAUUCUGAUCGAGGAUAUGAAUGAUUUUUUUUUUGUACUUCUCAAGUAAAUUUUAAUUGUUUAGUUAAGUUAUAGUCGAUAAGAUUGUAACGAUAUUGGAUAUGAAAUGUUUUUAAAUAAAUAUCAUUUUAAAAUCAAAAUUGUUUUCAUUGUCAUUUUAUAUUGUAAAAUCAAGUCUACAUGAGAAAAAUGGAACAAAGUUGUAUAUUGUAUUUCUCUCUAUAGUAUAAUAAAAAUGCGUAUUUAAAAAUUACAAAAAAAUUUGAGUAUGAAUGAAAAAAUCAACAAAUAAGUUUCAGUUAAAAAAUUAAUAAAUCGGUUAAUGAGGUAUUGUCCUUAUAAUAUCUCAUCGGUGAGGACAUGACAAUAUUGUAUACCCUAGGUAGAUGUCGGUCGACCUUUUGGUUUGUAAUGCAAUGACUUAUUGGGUAACAACUUGAAUGGAGCGCUCGAUACCGGCAACCACAUACUUUUAUCUGGGGCCGAUGGGAAUACAUUUCUCCACAUGUUAUACAUGUGUUCUAGUUUAUCAUCAUGUAUUGUUUCAUCUACGAUAUGUACAUUUUGUCCAUAAAGCUUUGUGAUCUAAACUUACGGAGGAACAUGCUGCAAUUGCAAAAGCACAUGGGAAACGAAGUGCAUCAAAUCUCCCACAGUUGUAGGUCAGUUGUCUCCGAUGUACAUGGUACGCUCCCCCGACAAUACCUUGAUUGGGUCUGUCGAACUCUGUAACUCGAAACAAAAGGUCUUUGCAUGAGUGACACACUAGAUGCAUACAGUUCGCUCGUACUGUAGCCUUCCUAAUUUCUUUCAUAAUGUCCUUACACCAAACAUGGUAUUCCUUCAUCUGUCCAACAUAUUUUUUCAUUCCCUUUGGAAAAAGUUCUGCCAAAUGAAAAUAUGUUUCUUUCACAACCAAAGUUAUCGACAAAUGAUGUGUUCCCUUCAAUACAAAAUUGAUGCAUUCCACUAAGUUUGUCAUCAUGUGCCCAUAUCGUAAACCCUCGUCAUAUGAUUGUGUCUACUAAUUGAAGGGUAUGUUAGAGAGGUACCUUACCCCGACACUAUUAAUGGCCUGUAAGUUUUCCAACAUUUCAUGAAAAUGGUGUUUGACGAGCUCAUACCCUGUCGAGAAAAGUGAAUAGUUUAUUCAUAAUGCCCAACAUCUGCUAGCCAGUUAAAUAUUAAACAAUUGAAAUAGUGGCUAAUACAUACCCAUGUUAACCACUUGUGCGCUCUGAGCUUCAAAUUCGUACUAUCUGUGGUAGUUCAUCGCAACAUGUCUUAAACAAUAUUUAUGGUGUGUUCGGUCCCAAAGGCUUCUCUAUCAUUCAAUUGUGGCCAGUAUUCCAAGUCCCUUGUCAAAGAUGACACAUACAUCGAGUUGGGGGCAAACAUACCUCCUCAACCUAGACAAGAAGAAAUCUCAAAUCAUUUGCCUUCUUUGACGACAUUAUUGCAAAGAAAAUUGGCAGGAUUUUUUAUUUUCAUCCUAUGCCACAACCAACAACAACAAUCGAUACGUAUAUCUCCCGUUAAUAAAGAGACCGUCGAUUUGUACUAAUGGCUUGCAGUAUUGGAAUGCUUUUCGACAUUGCUUGAAAUCCCAGAAGAAAUGAUGGAACACUCGACAUCUAUGGACCAACCGAUUAUUAUAAUACACAGGCAUUAUUUGUAGAUCGGUUAACUCAUCCCACCCAUUAUGUAUCUUCUCCAAUGCCUUCUACUUUGCAAUCCAUGCCUUGUGGUAUGAUGGUGUGUAAUCGUACUAGCUACGGAUAUUUACAAUUAAAACCGACACAACAAUCAUUGGACUUGUUUUCACCAUAUUUAGUAUUAUUUUCAGGAUCAUCUCCGAACCCAAUUUCAGAUGAUCUUGUGAAAUACCUGCAACAACACGAGUAUGUUAAAAUUAGGAAUUCUACCCCAAAUAUAAGAAAAUCUUAACACAGUACCUAUGAUAACACACGUAUGCGGAACGAUAUAUUUUUUAUGGUCUAUAACCCAGUCUUCUUAUUAACAGAAACCAUGAUUUUCCAUGCACAUUUCGCUUUGAAUUUGUCAGAUCGGGAUUUAACAAAAUGGAAGUUUAUCCCAUUUUUUAAGUUGUAUCACUUCAUUACAGUGACAAAACCAUCUUUAAAGGAAAACUCCUUCCCCACUUCUAAAUCACCCGAAUUCAACAAAGAACUCGCAUAGCUCGAUCUUUUGUGUGGGAAUUUUACAAACUCCAAUCCAUCUUCUGCUAAAAGGUCCACAUUAUGCAUGUAGGUCGGUGGUGAGUACGUCAUGAACUGUGAAUCUUCUUCGACAUAUUCGCCCGGACCUUCACCAUCUGAACCUCCAUAUUUUAGUUUAGUUGGAACCAGCUUUGGGUCAGAAAAUAAUGCAAUUUCUAAACCAUCAGCCCCGGGCUCCCAGAUUGGAUUGGCAUCAGAUUCAGUGCCCUCUUCAUUCUCAGCCGCACCAGUAUCUCCGGGGUUGGAAAUCCCCUCGUCGGUGGAUGUCAUAGGGAGUACAUCAUCCCUUAUUGUAUAGUUCUCGAAACAACCAAACCACCUAUUGAUUACCAACCGUUGGAACUUGAUGUCAUUCUCCUAUAGGUGUUCCCAGUAUUAAACAUCGGCUGAUCGAAGCUGAAAUCAAAACCACUAACUGAGUGUCGCAUGGGGGUCCAGUAUUAUUGGUUACUGCCAAACCCUGUAAGAUUUCCCACUUUCAACUCUUACAAUUUCCCACUCACCCAUCAUAUAUCUCGGGAUUCUCGAGAUAAUAUUUUCUAAAAAAUUCUGAUCGACCUCAACCUCCCCUAAGCUAUAGGUGAUCAAAACUCAGUUACAUUCGAAAAAAUUGAAAAAAUUUACAAACUAAAAGUUAAUCGAAUUGAGUAGUUCAAGCUUUGAUUUUGAAUCGAAUUAAAUUUUACAAUUUGAAUAAUUCAAAUAUACGAUUGUUGUAAAUAUCAAAUUAAAUAAUGUUAACUUUACAAGUCAAAAAAAUAUAAAAAAGUCUAAAGAAUAUAUAAAAAAUUUUAAAAAUAUAAAAACCCCUAAAUCCUAAAACACUAAAACCUACAAAAUCUUAACCCUAAAUUACUUUAACAAAAAUCAAAAUCCUAACCCUAAAAAAAUAACCUUACCAAAAGAAAAAUGCUUCCAGCUGAAAGGUUUUCCUACAAAUCCAUUGAAAACGCUUUCAGUUGGAAGAGUUUUCGUAUUUUUGGCCUAAUCCCGUAAUUUUUCAAAAACCAGCCUAAUUCGAUAAUUUUUUUUAAAAAAAAUCGACAUUUUUUAGAACUUCAUUCUCUGUUGACAUCAUUACUGUUACAAUAAUUAAAAAAUAUAAGUUGGAGUGAGUUUAAAAGAAUAUUAUCUUUUAAUUUAAAAAUUAAUAAAAUUAUAGGUAGGUUACCACAAAGAUCCUUUUACUUCUUUUUGUUUUCUUUUCUUGUCAUUUUUAUGUGUUUUUUUAUGGCUAUUGGUAUCAAGGAUGUUUUCAACAUGGAAGUACUAUCAAUGAAACCGUAGAACUUGAGUUUGAGAUGUUGGACUUAAUUAGCAAUUGAAGUUAAAGUGAAUGAAAGGGAUUUGAGAACUUUCUUAGUUGGUUAUUAUUGAUUGUGUGAUAUCUAGAGCCCGCUUUUUACUAUUAUUAGUAUGGUUCCCUACCAAGUUUCAUGUUGGAUUAAUUGUUCUUUUAUGAGUAAAUUUUGAAGGUUCAAAUAUAUUUUAAGUCUUCAUACUUUUCAUGUGUUUAGAAGUUAGUCUUCAUAUUUUUAAUUUUAAGAAUUUAGUUCCUUUAUUUUUUAAAUUUAAAAAUUAAGAUUUAAUUGUUAAUACUAUCAAAUUCGAUGGAUUUCCGUUUUGAAAUUAAAAAAAAAACACUCACACGGUAACUAUGUAACAAAAAAAAAAACAUUGCAAUGAGCGUGAAUUUAACAGAUAAUUUUAAUGGUAUUAAUAACUCUUAAAAAUUACAUCGUCAUUUUAAUCGAAAUUAAGGUUUUUGGGCUAACUAAUAACAAUAAAAAAGUCAAGGUACCAAAUCAUAUCAAAAAGUUAAAAUAUAAAAAUUAAAUCUUAAAUUUAAGCAAGACCAAAAUAGAAAUUUAAUUAUUAUAUAAUUUAUAAAAAAAUAAACUUAUUCCAACUCAUCAUGCUAAAAGAAGUUUUUUGUUAGUAUUGUUUAAGAAAUCUAGGUCAAAAAACUAAUUAGAGUAGUCAACAAAAUUAACAAAUUGGACUAAAUAUUAUAAAAUUAAGACCAAAUUAUUGUAGAAUUUAUGAAUAAGAAUUAAAUCUUAAUUUUAGGUAUAAUAGAGGGAUGAAAAGUGAUAUUUGGCCAUUAUCCUAUGAAAGACAAAAAAAAAAAAUGAAAGUGGGAAGCAAGGAGAAGCCAAAAUUUUUUUUAAAGGGGCCGAAUGAAAUUUUAAUUUUUAAUAGUCUAUAUUUUUAUAAUUUUUAAAGAAUUAAAUCAAAUUUUUAUAAUUUUAGGGGGGCCAAAGUAUAAUAUUACUUUUACUAAUUUAAAAUUUUAAAAAUUUUUAAAGAGCCUAAAUAACAAAUUUCCUUUUAGGGGGGGUCGGGGCCCCUGCCAGCCCCCCUAGAUUCGCCUCUAGUGGGAAGGUUUAAAACGACCUUUGAGUUAUUGAUAAAGAGACUUUAGCUUAUUGAGAAGGAAUUAGAAGAUUAUGAAGUAGGAGAAAAUUUAUUUUUGUUUGUGUUUGANNNNNNNNNNNNNNNNNNNNNNNNNNNNNNNNNNNNNNNNNNNNNNNNNNNNNNNNNNNNNNNNNNNNNNNNNNNNNNNNNNNNNNNNNNNNNNNNNNNNNNNNNNNNNNNNNNNNNNNNNNNNNNNNNNNNNNNNNNNNNNNNNNNNNNNNNNNNNNNNNNNNNNNNNNUAAAUGGUUGACCCAAAUUCAUUUUAGUACACACUCAUAUUGUUUUUAAAAUCUUUUUUAAAAAUUUAUUUAUAAUAUUUUAAUUUAAUAUUUAAUUAUCUUAACAUUUUUUAUGUUUACAUUAUAGUAGUAUUAUAUAUUACUACAAAUUUAAUUUUUAUGUGUUAUAAAUUACAAAAAAUAUAUAAAAAUAACAUAAUAAUGAGGCCGGUCAAGCCGAGCUUAGGCCUUGAAUAUUCAAGUCCAAGCCCAAAGACAACUUAUAUUUUAAAUGAGAUUAUUAUUUUUUGUUCAAGCCUAUUUUUCGAAUUUAAUUUUUUACCUAAAUACUAUCAAAUUUUGAAUGGACCUUCAAGCGUUAUUCCAAUUUGACCCUAAUUUUUUUAAUCCUCAAUAUUACAUUUUGAGUCAAAUUAUUUUUUUUAAUAAAAAAAAUACAGAUUGAACCAUUAAAAUUUAACAGUGUUAACAUGACAAUUUGAGUAGAUAACGAUUAAAUGAUGUGGCAAAAACGAAAUGAAGAGUUGGCAUUGUAGUCGAGGAAGUGGAAAUCUAGAGUAAAGGAAUGAAAAGAAAAUAUAGAAGCUUCAUGCAAAUAAGAAGAAUAACCACAUUCAAAGUCUAUUGUGAGAAGGACGUACCAAUUUAUUAAAAUACAUUGUUAUGUAUAGAAAAUAGAGAAUGGUCUCUGUUAAGGAUCGGCCCGAUUAAGCAAUAAGUAACAAAAAUAGCAGAAUAAAUUAAGAAAUUAAACAUAUAAAUUUAACGUGAAAAAACCCCUCCAAAGAGGAUAAAAAAUUACGGGCAAAGAUAAUUUUACUAUAAUGGCAAAAGAACGAAGAGUACAAAAGAUGGAGAUAAAACUAAACCCAAAAAACUCGAAAACAAAAAACUCUCAAAACGUAAAUGUAAGAACCCAUUUUUGCCUGGACCCAUACUAGCAAAAUAAGCCCAAAUAAUAAAAACAAAAACAGUCCAUUUUCAGCAAAUUUAAGCACAAAACCCAAUUAUGCCAGCCCAAUACAACCCUAGCCCACAACAAAAACUUUCAGCAGCAAAGGGAGCAAACCCUAACCCUCUCCAGCGCCCGCAUGCACGCCCCUGCCCUUGGGCGCCGCUCCAACUCCCCGCACGCCGCCGCCGCACUUCACCACGCUCGUCUGGCACCUGCAAAGAAUUUAAUGCAAUAACAAAUGAAGAAGCACGCGGGCAAUAAUAGUAGUUAAUAGAUAAUAAGGAAGAGAAAAGCAUUUUGAUUCGGCUAUAAAAGCCCGAAUCUCACCGUUGUACUUUUUUUACGAACGCACAUCAAUUAAUCAAAAAUCAAAACACAGAUUUUAAAGGUUAAAAAUCUGAUCGUUUUCUUUUUUCUUUUUGUUUUUCUGUUUGCUGUUUUCUUUUUAUUCUUAUUAUUAUUUUUUGUUUUGUUCAUCUCUUUUACAAAUAGUUUUAACAAUAAAUAUAGAAUAGAAAGAAGGGGAAAGAAACGCACCUAGAUCACCGGUGGCUCCGUCGACGGAUGUCUUCUCGCCGUCGUCGGAAUCGGGUCUUGAAGUGGGUUUAAUGCUCCUUCGGUCCCUCGGAUUGGAAGCCUGACUCUCUGAUACGCCCCCAUUUUCUUCGCCGUUGGCCUUUGGUCACGGCGGCUCCAAGGCCGAAUUUUUUGGGAGAGUUGAGAGAAUGAGGGUUUAGUUUUUUAGAAAAAAAUGGUUGCAGGUGACAGAUUUUUGGGGUUUAAAU